UCUAAGCAUAAAACAUUGAUUAAAACAGAAUACACACAUACAUACCAGCAAAUUCAAAAUAGCAAAAGGAGUGCAAAAGUUCAAGUUUGUAGACAACAUUGCAACCAUGGCAUGUUUAUAGCAAAUCCUCGAAAUCUGCUAAAUAAAACAAUGCCAUGUCUCAUGAAUCAAUGCUGAAUUAAAAUUGAAACUGAAAGUCUGGCUAGCUAUGUUUCCCUCUCCAAUUUUGCCUACAUAAGUGAAAAUAAGAAUAAUAAAUGAAAAUCUGCUUUGACAGUUCUUAUUAUAUAGAUAUAAAAAGAUCUUUCUUUGUUUCUCUGCAGCAAUCUGUGGCUAUCCCACUCUGUUUUGCCAGUCAAGCUGCGGCCUCAAUUAGUUUGGCACUCUUAUGACCUCCUUGAAGGUUUUACGAUAAACAUAAAUCUACUGACAAAGUGGGCAAAAAGAAAAUGCAUAUAAAAGUAUGAGUUAUCAGAUAAGAUUAAAACUCACCCAAUUCAAUCCAUCAGAUUCCGUAAGGAUAUAACUGGAUGUCAUACCGCCACUCCAUAUUCUUGAAAGUCCGUAGUGUUUGUCUCAACUGUGUCUGGGGCCAGUGUAAGUCCAAUUUGCGCAAGCUCUCUAUGCACCACAGCUCUUCUGGAAGCUUUCUCAAGUAAGCACAUGGGUUGACAAUUAAGCUUUCAAGUUUCGGCAUUGCUCCAGCCCCCAUCGUCCACUCAUCUAGCCAAUACAUUGAUUUCAGGUGCAAAACCUUAAGUUCGGGAAAGCUACUCAAGCCAAAACAAGCAAGCUUUCUUCCUAAAUACGAGUUCUGCUUCAGUUUCAGCACUCGAAGGCGUGGAAGAUUUUCCAGAAUUGGCAUGGGAUCCUCCAUUAGCUCAGUAUUUGAUAAGCUCAGUUGGAUCAGACUUGGGGGAAAUUGGUAUUCAGACAGGACCAUCCGUGAGGGCUUGCUCUCAUUCACCAGCUUCAAGCAUUCAAGUUUGUGGAGUUCGCAAAGGCUUUUGGAAACCCCAGAUUGAUAGUAACUCAAAUCUCCAGAUAUCCGAAGAGUCUGAACACUAGGUAGUCUGCCCAAUAUAUCAGGAGUACAACUACUAGGGUUUAAAGCUGAUAUGAAAAUGAGAUUUUUCAGAGAGCUAGAAUAAUUUUUUGGAGGUGCGGGCAGAGUGAUGGAACCGAAGUUUAGAUGCACGAGUUUUUGCAUCAUCCAAAUAUCCUCUGGUGACUGAUCUAUGUAGCUAGAUGGCAUUUCUAGUGUUUCAAGGUUUAAAAGGGUGCAUAGCAGUGAAGGAAGGCAUUUGAGCGAAGGGAUAUUCAAUUUCAAAUACUUCAAAAGGAAUAAAUUUUCUAAUCCGGGUGGAAAUUGGUCGAGAACUGCAGAACCCAAGUUCAGUACCCGAAGGUGUUUUAACUUUUCACAAAAAUUCUCGCAAUCUAUCACAGCGAGAUGAUCGCCUUCUGAACUUUGAUUCAGAAAAGAUUGGAGACACAUGUCAGAAUAUUCUGAAGGAAGGAAGUCAAUCAGAUCUUUCAAAAUGAAGCACCGUUUAACAUUUGCCAGUGAUUCCUCUUUCAUGUCAGGCAUCCACACAAAUCCCGUCUUCUCUGCCACCACAAACAAUGAAGUAUAUACAAAACUUGGAACAUAACACGCUUUAAUUGUGCCGCCGGCGCUUCUCUUACUCACUUUAAUGAAGCCGCGAUGGAUUAGUUCGUUCAAGUAAUGUUCGGCAGUUUCUUCACCGUUGUAUGGUAUGAAACCUUCAGCUACCCACAACUGAUAUAAUUGCCGCGUGGAUAUCUCAAUACUUGGAGGGAAGACACACAAAUAGAUGCAACAGACUUUCAAGUGAAAAGGCAACUCCAUCACAGAAAAAAUUUGCCUCCAAAUUGUCGGAAACGCUUCGCCUUGAAGAUAAUUUUUUAAUGGCAUACUUCCAUGGUGUAGGACGAAAAAUUGCCAGGCUUCAUGCUUUAAUCUGAUCAAUGGUCCUCCAAUGAGCACUGAAUCAGGCCGAAUCUUCUCUCCGUUUUCCAUUUCCAACGACGAAAGGAGGUCUGGUUCAGUGACCAAUAUCAAUACUCUGCUUCCAUUCUGAUUAUCAGGAAGAACUUCUUGAAGAUCAUCCCAUAUCUCACUGUCAUCGAAGACAUCAUCAAGCACAAUAAAGUACUUCUUGUUGGUUAGGUAAUCUCGAAGAACAGAUUUCUUCAAUUGAUAAUCUUCACCGAUAAUUACACUAACCCGAGAUGGAGGCAUCACAGACUUGAUUAUGUCAUCCAAUAUCUUGCCAAAAUCGUAGACUAUAGAAACCCUGACCCAAGCAAGACAGUCAAAAUAGAACUUGACAUGGUUAUUAUUGCAAGUAUCUGCAGCAAAAGCAGUCUUAUCGAAGCCACUGCUGUCGAGAAUUGCAACCACUGAAAGUCCAGAUGGUCCCUCAAUCAAUAGAUCAAAAAACUUCUCUCUGCCCCUUUCAAAUUCACUGAUAUCGAACCGAGGUGUUCCCUCACUCAAUAGGCGAAUGAUUUCGUUACUUUUUUCACUGAUAUCAAAACCAUUGUCGCCGGGUGGAAGUUGUUGCAUCCGAUUUCUAAUAUCAAUGAUUUCACUGUGGAGUCCAGCAAGAAGAGCCAUAUCAGUACUGCUUUCACUUUCGUUUUCACUGUUUUGCUGCUGCAUGAUUUUGAUGAAGAAUCUGUCAAUGGCUUCCUCAGAUUCACGGACAAAGUCAUUGAUGUCCUCCAGAAUUUCCAAAAUAUCUGCUGUUUCAACGUCUUCUUCAUCGCUUUCUUCUAAGUCCAACAGUUGCAAAAAAGGCAAAGAUAUUUUGGAGUCAUCGAAAUCUUCUCUAAGGAGUUGAAACAAAUGCCGAGCCAUGUCAGCUUCAUAUUUUCCCAGCAGAGUGGUAGCAAUAAUUUCGGACUCCGUAAGAAGGUUUUGAAAAAGUGGAGUUAAAUUUGUUGAAUCUGGCAGCGGCAACGUGCCUUCUUCACCUGCUAACACCCUUUUCAACCUCUCAUAGAACAGUCGGAGGUGGAAUUCCAGCAUAUCUCCUUCUCUCCGCAGUCCUCAGAGGUAUAGUUGAAAGAUCAAACACCAUGGAAGAAUUUGAAAGGAAAAUGCCAAGAAACUGUGUAAGUGGCUAAAUUCCACAAAUAUGACAUUAUUGCUCAUUUUUUAACUCAAAAAAAGGGUACGCGUUCAUUUAGAGAAAAGUCCAAGACGCGUGCCUUUUGAAAAGAACAGGUAUCCCAAUCGGUAUCCAACCUUUAUCUUAUUUUAAUUACUACCAUGACAUAAUUGAUGGUGCUUAAAUCAAUUGUUUCUUUUUUAAUUUAAAGAAUUUUUCAUUAAAAAUAUAUUUUAAUAUCAAAUUGCCUUCAGUGGCGUAACUGCCUCAAGCCCAGUAACAGGAUUAAUUAAAAUUUUUUGAAUUUUUGGGCAUGGAAAUAGUAGUAUUAAACAUUAGAAAGGUAAGGUUGUUCUGUUAAAGAAUUGAUAUUGACAUAAUUUUAUUUUGAUUUUCGUGGAAAACAAAAAUUUGUUGACAAGCAAGAAAAUAUUUUUAUUUUUUAAAAUUUAUUAUGCAUAUUUUAUCAUAUUAAAGUAAUUUUAAUAAUAAAUAGACACAUAAUAUUACAAUAAAUAAAGUAAAGUUUAAAAUUAUUUUGAAUAUUAUAAAAAAUAAUUUUAAUAUUAUUAAUAGGAAGACAUUUUAUUAAUUUUAAAAUCUUUUGAACCUAAAGGUUUAUUUAAAAUCUUUAGAAAUCUCCAUCCCACAUCUGCCCUAUUAAACAAGUUGAUGGAAAUUGAACAAUUGCUUUUUGAAGUGGACCCAUUGAGUUAUGUUCAUUACUGGUCAUUGUCUAUUCUUUCUAAGAGCCACUUGUUUUGAGCAUUAGCAAUCCUAUCUGGACUACUCCAAUUAUUGAUGUAACUACAAUGGUUGCAUCAACAGUUGAAUGUAAGAUAGUGUUAGUUCUUUUUUGAGAAUUUCUUUAUUUGUUUCUCCGUUGCAGCGUAUCAGGUGUUCAUCUUGAUGCAAAGGAUGAAAUUUGUAAUUAUAUUAUGGCUCCAUUUGGUAUAAUUUUUUAAUUCGAACUUAUUUAAGGAGAAUUUUUAUUAAUAAAGUUUUUUAUAAAUAGAGAUUUUACUAAAAAAAAUUAUAGUUAUUUAGUUGUGAAUGUCCAAAUUGAUGAACUAUUGUUCUUUUUGUUAACAUGUGUUUGUUUUACUUAAUAAUAAAAGUUAAGUUCACAAUUACACCGGUGUCAAAUCAGCAGAGCAUUUUUGCAGCCAGUCACAUUAUACAUUUUUGCAACUUGCAAUGCAAGCGAUGAGAGAAAAUGAGAAUCUUGUUUAAUUGUCAAAAAAUAAGUCAAAUCUUGUUUAAUUGUCAAUAAUGAGAAUCUUGUUUAAUUGUCAAUAAUGUCAAUACAUUUUUGCAGCCAGUCACAUUAUACAUUUUUGCAACUUUCAUAAUCGUUUGUUAUAAUUGAAUAUGUAUAAAGAAAGGAAAAUUAUAUUCAUAGAUUUCGACUUAUUUUUUGUUUAACGUAACUAAUCAUUCAACCAUCUUCGUUUGCCUCUGGCCAAUGCCCUUGUAGAUUAGUUGAAGCGUUAAUUACAUAAUUCAGAUAAUUUCAACGUCCUUUUCGCUAAUUAAUUAUGAUUAUAUACGUUUUCAUAUAGCAAGUGGCAUUGUAGAUCUGAACUAAGUUGCUAUUUCAAUACGUUAAUUAAGUGAUUCUCCUCAUUGUCAUCAGCGUUAUACCCUCUAGGAAAAUAGCUCAAUUGUUUCUCUGCAUUGAUUUUCAUUGGUAAGUGAUUUCUUAUGAAAUUCUUUUGAGCUUUCCUUAUUAAAAAAGCUUGAGCUUUUAUCACCUAAUGCGGAUAUCAAUUAACUUGUGAACGAUUUUGCAAUGAAACUAGGAGUUAAAUAAGAUUUUUACAAGAUGAUCAACUUGUUAAUUUUGUAUAUUUCAUAUUUAACAGGAUUUGGGCACGGAACGUUUGGAUUCUAAUAUUUACAUAUUUAGUUUUAAUCAGUUUGACUUUCGUAAUCUUUCUCGCCUCAUCAUUAAGGGAUUAAGAAUUAGAGAAACAUUAGAAACAGGAAGAAAAUAACUUCAGAAAUAAGUAAGAGGGAAAAAAAAUUAUGAUAUUUGGAAUGUAUCAUAAUUUUUUGUUGAGUAAAUAUGUAUGAAUAAUUGAUAUCUAUGAAUAGUUUUUGGGAGUUUUAGCCAGGAGUCAUUUAUUGAAGAUGUCUAGCAAUUAAAGAUCUCUGUCUCAGUAGUUUUCCCAAUCAAAAUCAAGAAGCAAAAAAAAAAACUUGCCAUUUUUCUACUUGAUAAUUAAUAGAAAUUUAAGAAAAUACAAUGGCAUUUCAAUUAGAAUUGGUAAUUGUUUAUCUUUUUUUCAUUGAUCAAAUUCUAAUCUUUAUCCAAUAGUUAUGAAUGAAAGAAAUAUUAUGAGAGGAGAUAGGCCAAUUGAAGCCGUACCAGCAAAUAAAAAAUAGAAAAGGAGUGCAACUAUUCAACUUUGUAGACAAUAUUGCAACCAUCCAAAGGUGAAGAUCUAUGCCUAUUAUCUAUUUAACAGCUAUAUAUAUAUAUAUAUUUAAAUAUCAAGAGUUAUGCUUGUAAAUAAGUUCAAAUGUGAUGAGAACAGCCUUAUAUUUAUUUAUUUAAAUAUGACCCAGGCUAAUUUCUCUGAAUUUGGACAGAGUAGAUUUCUAAGCUAAUGCUUGGCAGAUCUCUUGGCGAUACUACAAAGUGCAUGUACAUUGAGUCUUAAUAAAUAUAAAUGAUUCUCUGAUAUGAUUCAAAACAUCACUACAUGCAUAAGUUAAUAAGAGACAAUAUUCUAAGAUUAUUUAUGCAUCACCAUUUAUAGUUGUACCCUCUCUAAUGAAAUUGAAGGUGCAGCCAGCAACUAAAAUGAAGCAGAAAUGUACACGCAUGAGGCAGUUUUUCUAGAAGAUUGAUAUUUCUUUAACUAGAAAACCGUACCUGCAUGUGUCUAGGGCUUAAAUGGAGCACUUCUAAGCAUAAAACAGUAACUAAAACACAUACACAAACAUACAUACCAAAAAAUUCAAAAAAUAGAGAAAGGAAUACAACUAUUCAUGUUUGUGGACAAUAUUGCAACCAUGGCAUCAGUUAUAGCAAAUAUUGAAUUACAAUAUUUCCCUUGCCGAUUUUGUCUACACAAGUAAAGGGAAAUAAGAAUCAUAGAUGAAAAUCAACUUUUACAGUUCUAAUUAUUAGAUAGAUACAGAAUGAUCUAUCUUUGUUACUUUGUUUCUCUGCUGCAAUGUGCGAUCCCACUCUGUUUUGAUACUCAAAUUGAGUCUAUGUUGAGACAUAAUUUUGACAUUGGAAGCAAUCCCAAUUAGUUUGGCAUUUGUAUCACCUUUUGAAGGUUUUACAAUAGAUGCAAAUCUACUGAGAAAAUGGUAAAAAAGGCGCAUAUAAAAUGAGGCAAGUAACAGAAGUAUGAGUUAUCAGAUUAGAUUAAAAGCCACCCAAUUCAAUCUAUCAGAUUCCGUAAGGAUAUAACUGGAUGUCAUACCGCCACUCCAUAUCCUCGAAAGUCCGUAGUCUUUGUCUCAACUCUGUCUGAGGCCAAUGUAAAUCCAAUUUGCGCAAGCUCUUUAUGCACCACAGCUCUUCUGGAAGCUUUCUCAAGUAAGCACAUGGGUUGACAAUUAAGCUUUCAAGUUUUGGCAUUGCUCCUGCCCCCAUCGUCCACUCGUCUAGCCAAAUACAUUGACUUCAGGUGCAAAAAUCUUAAGUUCCGGAAAGCCACCAGAGCCAACGCAGGCCAGCUUUCUUCCUAAAUACGAGUUCUGCUUCGUUUCAGCACUUGAAGGCGUGGAAGCUUUUCCAGCAUUGGCAUGGGAUCCUCCAUUAGCUCAGUAUUUGAUAAGCUCAGUUGCAUCAGACUUGGAGGAAAUUGGUAUUCGGACAGGACCAUCCGUGAGAGCUUGCUCUCAUUCACCAACUUCAAGCAUUCAAUUUUGUGGAGUUCGCAAAGGCUUUUGGAAACCCCAGAGUGAUAGCAACUCAAAUCUCCAGACACUCUAAGAGUUUGAAGAUUAGGUAGUCUGCACAAUAUAUCUGGCGUGCAACUACUAGGGUGUAAGGCUGAUAUGAAAAUAAGAUUUUUCAGAGAGCUGGAAUAAUUUUUUGGAGGUGCAGGCACAGUGAUGGAACCAAAGUUCAGAUGCAUGAGUUUUUGCAUCUUCCAAAUAUCCUCUGGUGUUUGAUCUACGUAGCUAGAUGGCAUGUCUAGUGUUUGAAGGUUUGAAAGGGUGCAUAGCGGUGAAGGAAGACAUUUGAGCGAAGGGAUAUUCAAUUUCAAAUACUUCAAAUGGAAUAAAUUAUCUAAUCCGGGUGGAUAUUGGUCCAGGACUGCGGAACCCAUGUUCAAUACCCGAAGGUGUUUGAACAUUUUACAAAAAUUCUCGCAAUCUAUCGGAUUAAGAUGAUCGCUUUCUGAACUGUGAUUCAGAAAAGAUUGGAGAUACAUGUCCGAAUGUCUCAAAGAAAAAAAUUCAAUGGGAUCAUCGAAAAUAGCUCAAUUGUUUCCCUGCAUCGAUUUUCAUUGGUAAGUGAUUUCUUAUGAAAUUCUUUUGAGCUUUCCUUAUUAAAAAAGGUUGAGCUUUGAUCACCUAAUACUGAUUUCAAUUAACUUGUGGACGAUUUUGUAAUGAAAUUAGGAGUUAAAUAAGAUUUUUACGCGAUGAAUUUUGAUUUUUUUUUUAAAUUUUUUGAUGCUGUCAAUUGGCUAAUUUUAUAUAUUUCAUAUUCAACGGAAUUUAGGCACGGAAUGUUUGGAUUCUAAUAUUUAUAUAUUUAGCUUUAAUCAGUUUGACUUUUGGUAAUCUUUUUCCCCUCAUCAUUAAGGGAUUCAAAAUUAGAGAAACAUUAGGAAGAGGAAAAAAAUAACUUCGGAAAUAAGUAAGAGAGAAAAACUUAUGAAAUUUGGAAUUAUUUUUUGUAGAGUAUGUUGCAUUUACUAAAUUGGAAUCGAAAUGAGCUGGAAUCGGAAUGGAUAGAAAUGCGAAUGCGCUGGAAUGAGAAUAGGUAAUGAGAAUCAGAAUAAAUUGUUUACUCGAACUGUAAGAAUCGAAAUUAAAAUGAGCUGGAUUGCAAUUACUUUGUCCUGCAAUCAGAAUCGAAAUGAGCUAGAUUGUAACAAAUUACUGAAGAGUACUUAAUAAAUUAUUGUCAUAAUUAUUAUUUUAUAUUUUAAUAUAGUGAUUAUUUAUUCUAAAAUUAUUAAUAUUAAUAAUUAUUUUCAAUAAUGUAUUAAUAUGUUAAUUAAUUAUAAAAAUUAUGAAUUAAUUUAUUAUAAUAAUAUACUAAUUAAUUAUAAUAAUUAUAUUAAUAAUAAUUAUAAAAAUAUAUUAAUUAUUAAUAAUAAAAUUACUUAUUUAAUUAUAAUAAUAUAUUAAUUAUUGUGAUUAUUUAUUCAAAAAUUAUAAUUAUUAAUAAUUACUGUUAAUAUUGUAUCAAUAUAUUAAUUAAUUAUUAAUUAUAAUAAUAUAUUAAUUAAGUAUAACUGGGUAUUUUCAAUUUCGGGAAGGGAUAAAAUGGUCAAUCCUAGGAAUGGGAGACUCAUUCCCACCCUCUCCCUUGGGAAUGAGUCUCCCAUUGCUCAUUUCCAAAUUGUGGUGGACUCCACGAUUCCGAUUCCGAUUUCUAACUCAAUUUUGCGAAGUAAACACCAUCAAUGAUUUCGAUUCCCUAAUUUGGGAAGUAAACGCAACAUAAAUGUGUAUGAAUAAUUGAUAACUAUGAAUAGUUUUGGGAGUUUUAGCUAGGAGUCAUUUAUUGAAGAUGUCUAGCAAUUAAAGAUCUCUGUCUCAUUAGUUUUCCCAAUCAAAAUCAAGAAGCAAAAAAACUUGCCAUUUUUCUACUUAAUAAUUAAUGAUAAUUUAAGAAAAUACAAUAGCAUUUCAAUUAGAAUUGGUAAUUGUUUAUCUUUUUUCAUUGAUCAAAUUCUAAUCUUGAUCCAAUAGUUAUGGAUGAAAGAAAUAUUAUGAGAGGCGAUAGGCCAAGUGAAGACGUACCAGCAAAUUCAAAAUAGUCGGGGGUGGACGCCCAGUAUACCUCCUUCUCUCUGUAGCACCCAGCUGUAUUGUUAUUUGCUCCAAGAAAUGUUGAGUUCCACAAAUAUGGUUAGUGGAGUAAAAUAAAACACCAUUGAAGAAUUUGCAAGUAAUAUGCCAAGAAACUGGCUAAGUUCCACAAAUAUGACAUUAUUGCUCUUCUUUUUUUCAGAAAAAUGAUACACGUUAAUUUAGCAAAAAGUCUAAGACGCGAGCCUUUUGAAAAAAAUAGGUAUCCAACGUUUAUUUUAGUUACUACCAUGACAUAAUCGAUGCUGCUUAAACCAAUUUUUUCUUUUCUUAAUGUAAAGAUUUUUUUAAAAUAGAUUUUAAUAUCAAAAUGCCCUUCGAUGUUAUUACUGCCACAAGCCCAGUAACAGGUGUAAUUAAAAAAUUUAGAAUUUUUGGGCAUGGAAAGAGUAGUAUUAAACAUCAGCAAGCAAAGGCUGUUCUGUUAAAGAAUUGAUAUUACCAUGAUUUUAUUUUGGUUAUCGAGAAAAAAAAUAUUUGUUGACAAGUAAGAAAAUAUUAUUAUAUUUUACAAUCUAUUAUGCAUAUUUUAUUAUAUUAAAGUAAUUUUAAUAUUAAAUAGAAACAUAAAAUUAGAAUAAAUAAAUUUAAAUUUAAAUUAUUUUGAAUAUUAGGUAAAAAAUAAUGUUAAUAUCAUUGUUAAGUGUAAAAUAUUUUUAACCCAAAGAUUUAUUUAAAAUUUCAUAACAAAUACAAAUAUAAAAAUAAAAUAAAUAUCAUAGUUUAAAAUUUUAAAAUUAUUUUAAAUAUUAAAAUACUUUAAUGCUAGUAGUCUACAUUAUUUAUAUUAUAUUUGCAUUAAUUAAAAAUUUUGAAGUCAACUUUCUAGUUACUAUAUUCAAAAGGUAUUAUGAUUAAAAAAAAUAUUUUGGUAUUUCUUUCUUAAAAUUUGAGGGUCUGCAUGACAAUUUUUUCAAAUCCUAAGGGCAUAAGUGUGCUUUUCUUUGAUAAUUUAUUUCACCUUUGAGGGAAUACAAUGAGAAAUAUGAUAAGAGAAACAUCAAUUUAAUGUUUUCUAGCUUUAUGAAAAAAAAAAGUGGAGCCAAGAACUAUUCAAUUUUGUAUUUUUUGUUUGUAAUUCAAAAAAUGCAUUCACCAAACAAGUUUUAUGCAUUUAUGUUGUCAUAAAACGAAAAAACGGUUUGCCAAAAAAUGGUACCAAAUAUUAAGCCCAUAUUAGAUAUAUUUAUACAUUUUACUUCAUUUAGGGCAUGUUUGGUAGCCUACAUUAUAUAGGAUAAAAGCAUUGUUUUGUAUUAAAUUAAUGAACACUCAUGUUUGGUGCUAAAAGUAACCCUAGCUACAUUGUUUUUAAUUUUCUUUAUAAUAAUAACAAUAAUAUAACUUUUUAAUUUAAUAUAAUAUUAUAUAAUUUUUAUUUUUAUUUUUUAUUUUUACAUUAUAAUUUAUUAGGUAAUUUAUAAUUUAAUAUAAUUAGUAAUAAUAUAAAAUAUCAUUACAUAUACUACAUAACUCUAAUUUGGAUUAUUUAGUACAAUUCAUUUAGAAUUUUUGGGCAUGGAAAAAGUAGUAUUAAACAUCAGCAAGCAAAGGUUGUUCUGUUAAAGAAUUGAUAUUAACGUGAUUUAUUUUGGUUAUCGAGAAAAAAAAUAUUUGCUGACAAGUAAGAAAAUAUUAUUAUAUUUUACAAUCUAUUAUACAUAUUUUGUUAUAUUAAAGUAAUUUUAAUAUUAAAUAGAUAAAUAAAAUUAAAAUAAAUUUAAAUUAUUUUGAAAUUAUGUAAAAAAUAAUUUUACUAUUUUGUUAAUUGUAAAUAUUUUUAACCGAAAGAUUUAUAAAAAAUUUAUAAUAAAUAAAAAUAUAAAAAUAAAAUAAAUAUCAUUGUUUAUAAUUUUAAUAUUAUUUUAAAUAUUAAAAUACUUUAAUGCUACUAGUCUACUACACGGGUUAUAUUAUUUAUAUUAUAUUUGCAUUAAUUAAAAAUUUUAAAGUCAACUUUCUAGUUACUACAUUCAAAAGGUAUUAUGGUUAAAAAAAAAAAGUUUUGGUGGUUUUUUUUGGAAAAUUUGAGAGUCUGCAUGACAAUUUUUCCAAAUCCUACGGGUAUAAGUGUCCUUUUCUUUGAUAAUUUAUUUAACCAUAGAUAUCAAUUUAGCGUUCUAUGACUUUAUGAAAAAAACGUGUGAAAGGAAUUUAGAUCUAUCGCAAAUAGAUGUUGGCAGUUAAAAAUAAAAAAUUAAAUUUUGUAAAUACUGUUUACCGUUACUAUUCGAGGUUACUGUUUACAAUUACUGUUCAUCCAAUAAAAAAUAUUAAUUUUCCAAAAACACAAUAAAUUGCAGAAAAUAAAUGACAGAGACUUUUACGUGGUUCGGAUUAAUCAAUCCUACAUCCACGAGGCCGCGCCCAAAUGAAAAGCAAUUCACUAAGUUGAGAUGUUACAACCUAUGGAUUUACCAAACUUAAGACGCUCACUUAAAGUUUAUCAUCAUUCAGUUUACUCAACCUUAAAUUGAAUCAGCUUCUCUUGAAUAAUUGCUACCCCUCUUGAUCUACGAUCCUCAAGGCACUUCGCAAAGUGAUCAAUAUCAAUUCUUCAAUUCUUCAAUGUCUAGUGAUCCAAGAUCCACAUAGACUCUCCACAGAGAUGAAAAUAAGAUAAAUAAAUAAAUCAACACAACAUUAUGCGCCAAAUCCGGAUUCUCUAGGGAGGAGGCCGAAUUUUGCUUCUUUGUUAUAUGCUCUGUGUUGUGCGUGCCUUCAAUUGUGAAAUACCUCUUUUUAUAUAGGCAUUAGGAUUUCACCAAAAUAACAAGUCUUAAAAGAUUUCAAUUCUUUCCAAAUAAGAGUUUCUUUCAUCUUAUAAUUCCCAUGAAUCUGAAUAGGAAUAAAUAUGAUCUUCUUGCCUUGCUUGUCUUCUAAGAAAUAUCUAGAACAUUUAAUGAACUUCAUGUUUGAACUAACUUCUUGCUCUAAAUAGAUCUCAUGCGCCAAUUAUAGAAUCUCAUCAUUAAUUGACUUUCUAAAUUAGAUAUCUAAUUAAAUUAGGAAACAAAUUUUCAUAAUAAAUUGAAAUCUCAGUAAAUUAUGGAAUUAAUAAAUCAAUCCCUAUUACAAGAUAUGCAAUAAAUAAAAUUUCAAUUUAAGUAGAUUUGCCAUAAGAUGCCAACUUUAUAAAUAAUGGACUUAACAAUCUCCCCCUUUGACAUUCUUGUGGCAAAAGCAAUCCAGCACAAGUCUUCUAUGAACCUUGGCGCUAAGAUAAGAAUCUGAAACAAGCAUAAUCAACAACAAGGAACUAACCAAAAUAAUUGACAAUUAACAUGUUAGUUCAUGUAAAUAAACCAAGGCAAGAAUUAAAAUAAAAUGCUACUUUUAUUGAUCAAUAAAUAGAAAGGCAACAUUAAGCAGAAAAUGAAAAGCAAUAAAAAGAUAAACUCCCCCUAAGAACUAGAAAUCCGAAAAUCAAAAAAUUCUUGAACAAAAAUAAAAAACUUCCCCUAGAAUUGAAAAUACUACUCCCCCUUACUCAUUGCAUUGAGCAAUUGAAUACUUGAAACGAAUUAUUCCCCCUCUUUUACCAAAAGAUUACAAAAGGGAAGAAUCUGGAGCACCCACAAACAUAAAUUUCGUAUAAGAGGAAUAAAUAAACAUAAACCAACGUUCCAAUAUAAAAAAAAAACAUAAACCAACGUAAAAAAGUCAGAAACAUAAAGGAAAUUUCCAAAAACAAGGUGCUAUGCAUGAUAUUUGACAAAACAGACACACAAUGCAGAGCAGUGAACUUUGAAAUUAAACUGGGAAUGAAUGAAAGAGAAUAAGAAUACUAUCUACAUACUUUUGGAAAAAUUAUUGAAUCAGCUCUUCAUAGGAGUUUACAGAACUGAAUUUGGAGUUCUGUAGACAAAGUUAUGAUCAAAAGAAUGCAAUAUGAUCAAAAGAAUGCAACAUGCUCAGUUGUGAUGGGCAAAAACUUGCCAAUGCACUUAGAAAACAAAAUUUUGAGUUUUGCUGAAAAAUAUGUGACUCUUAAGACCUAAAAACAUAUUCUCAUGUAAGAACAUGAGAAUGCACAUGCAUCAUGAUUUUUUUUUUAAAUUUAAAAAGAAAUGCAUUAAUAAUGAAAUUGAACAAGAAAAAAUUGUGUAAGAAUUUUUCACAACAAGCAUUAAUUCAUGAAAUCAAGACUCUAAUUUGCUCAAAUAAGUAAAGAUUAGAGAAAUUUAAGCUUGUUUGUAUGUGUGCAAACAACUCAAUCUAAAGCUUUUUCCCAAAAAUUCAUCAAUUUUCAUAGUUAAAGUAUUAAAUACAAAACAUAGAGUUGGUCAAAUUAACCUUAUCAUCAUGAUCUCCAAUUUUUGACCAUUUCAAUUGUGACAAACUUUUUUUUUAAAAAAAUAGCAAAACUUUUUUUUUAAAUCUAUGGUCAGGAGCUUUCACUCUACCCCUUAAGGUAGCCUUCUUAUCAUGGUAGUUCGUCCUUUGUUAUAUUUGUGAUACGCAAACUCAGAUUACUCGAGGAUAGCUUCACUCUUAAGAGUUUUAGGUACUAUUUCUAACCAUAAUGUCUGUAAAUAUUUAAGAUCUUAUGACAAGAUAAGAAUUAAGGUAAACAGUCAUAACUCAAGUUAAAUAUUCUCAAUAAAUACUAUGUCAAUAUCAAAACCUUGAGUCAAAGUAAAGACUGAAUUGUCAUUCAUGUGCUUUUGAAGAAAAUAGUUAAAUAACUCUAAUCAAAACUUAGCCAAUGCUUUCAAGUCUUAAAAACAUGAAAAAUUACUUGUCAUUUAUUAACCAAGACGAAUCAAUUUUUUUUUUUAAAGAACACAAAAACAAUUAUUUGAAAUUAAAAAUUUAUAAAUGCAUGUCCUAUAUUAAUGCACAGAUGUAUGAUUUAAAUCUAAUGCAAAAAACUUUUUGACUUACAUGGAACAACACCUAAAGCUUUCCUUAAAUCUUCAAAUCGUUUGGAGUCUAAAGCUUUCGUGAAAAAUCUACAAACUGUUUUUCUAUAUCAAUGUAUUCUAAGGACACGGUCUUGUUCACAACUAAAUCUCUAAUGAAGUGAUGAUGAAUAUCAAUAUGGUUAGUCCCAGAGUGUUGAACAAGAUUUUUAAAAAAAUUGACAGCACUCGUGUUAUCACAAAACACAGUCAAAAUAUCCUGAAUCAUAUCAUAAUCUGCAAGCAUUUAUUUCAUCCAUAGAAAUUGGGUGCAACAACUUCCAACUGCAAUAUAUUCAACUUUAGCCGUGGAAAGAGAAAUUGAAUUAUGUUUCUUACUAUGCCACGACACAAAGUUAUUUCCAAGAUAAAAACAUUCUCUAGUGGUGCUUUUUCUAUCAUUAGCAAUGCCAGCUCAAUCUGCAUCACAAUAUCCUACAAGACUUUAAUUAGUGUCAUUAGUGUACCAAAUACCAUCAUUAACUAUUCCACUGACAAAACGAAUGAUUCGUUGGACAGCAGCUAAGUGUGAUUCUUUUGGAUUUGCUUGGCACCUAGCACAUACACCAACACUGAAACAUAUGUCAAGUCUACUUGCAGUCAAAUAAAGUAAGCUACCAAUCAUACUUUUGUAAAGACUAGGAUCAACACUAGAACCACUAUCAUCAAUAGUCAACUUGGUAUUAGUACUCAUAGGGGUUCUCAUGUGUUUUGCAGAAUCUAAGCCAAACCUCUUAACUAAACUCUUGGCAUACUUACUUUGAUUAAUAAAAAUUCCAUUCCCCAUUUGUUUCACUUGCAAACCCAAAAAGUAAGUCAAUUCUCUCACCAUGCUCAUCUUAAAUUCCUUUUUCAUUUGACUCACGAAUUCUUGCACAUGAUCAGAAGAUGUAGAACCAAACACUAUAUCAUCAACAUAGAUUUGAAUAACUAAAUCUCUAGAUUAAGUUGCUUAAUAAAUAAUGUUCUAUCUACUCCCCCUCGCUUAUAAUCAUUUUCAAGCAAAAAUUUGGUCAACCUUUCAUACGAAGCUCGAGGAUCCUACUUUAAACCAUAUAAAGCAUUUUUCAAUUAAAAAAUAUGGUUUGGGAAAUGGGGGUCUUCAAAACCUUUAGAUUGUUCAACAUAGGCUUCUUCAUUUAAGAUGUCAUUCAAAAAGGCACUCUUGACAUCCAUUUGAAAUAAUUUAAAGUCUAUUAAAUAAGCAACUACAAAAAGCAAACGAAUAGUUUCGAGUCUAGCAACAAGUGCAAAGGUUUCAUCAAAGUCAACCUAUGUAUAUCUUACUAUAUUUGCAUACCUUUUCUUUAUGACCAUUUGUUCAUCAAGAUUACCUAAAAUAAGAUUAGAUGGGUGAUUUUUCUUAACUCUUGAUGAUGGUUCCUUUCUGAUUGGGUCCUGUAGGUCCAUGAUUUCUUGGAGUUUUGAAACUUUCUCCUUCACAUUCUAUGGUGUUUUCUUAAAGGCGUCUUCUUCCACCGGUUCUUCUUCUUUCAAAGAAUGUUCACUAGAUUGACCUUUCUCAAUAACUCGAACUUCAGGAGUAGCUCUAACAAUAUUUGGUGUUUUCUAAAAGACUGGUUAUCUCUUCCUCAAUUGAGUAAUCUACAAAAUCUUGAUAAUCAUCAAUAACUACAUUUGCAGAUUCAACAAUAUUUUGCGUUCUAAUAUUAUAAAUACGAAAUGCUUUACUAUUAUUGGAGUAACCAAGAAAAACACCUUCAUCACUUUUUGAAUCAAAUUUACUAAGAUGUUCGUGAUCAUUCAAUAUAAAGCAUAUACUCCAAAAAAAUAUGAAAGUAACCUAGAUUAGGUUUUUUACCUUUCCAUAACUCAUAAGGAAUUUUCUUUUUACCUGGACGAAGAUAAACACGAUUAAUGGUGUAGCAAGUAGUGUUAAGUGCUUCGGCCCAUAAUCUCUUUCAAAGUUUCUUCGAGUUUAACAUCACUAGUGCCAUUUCCCACUAGGUUCUAUUUUUCCUUUCUACAACACCAUUUUGUUCUGGAGCUGAUUAGUAUUAAAAAUUGUUUAAUUAUCAAGCUAUAAUAUGUUAUUUUAUGCUUAUGUUAUAAUUUAUAUUUGUGUUUAUGUAAUAUAUUAUGAAUUAUGAAUUAUGUUUUAAAUAUAUUUAAUUUUGUGUAUUUUUAUGUGUUUAUUAGGAAAAAUAUUAAUUUCACGUACUUCGAGGCUCCAAACAGAUAAAUGGAGGUCAAAUUUGGAUUCCGGAGGUCCGAAAACCUUAAGAUCAGUCAAGAUCGGCUUAAAAUUGGGUUUGCGUAAAAAAAGUUGAAUUUUCCUAUUGACCGAGCACUGAUUGGAUGAUGAAAUGAGCUUACAAUAGAUAUGAGUGCAUCGGAUAGCUGGCAAUUUUGACUAAAUCUCAACCAUUCAUGAUUCAAUGGCCAUGAUUGUGCCACGUGGCAAUGGUUGGUGAAGCAAGUUGUAGGAUCCAAAUCUUUGUAUUUGGGUCGACCCGAUCCACCCAUUAACCCGCCAACUCUCAACCGUUCUUUGGGCAAAUCGGACGAGUCAAACGAUGCCACGUGUGAUGUUGACUUUUGAAGUUUGACCAGCCAUUGGAUCUUGAUCUAAAGGUUGUGAGGAGCACAUGCAUGAAGUUUAUGAUGGACCGCAAAACACUGGAUUAUGAAUUUAUUUUUCUAUAAAUAGAGCCUCAUUUUUAUGUUUUUAAUCAUCUCUCUACAACUCUCUUCUUCUCAAAUUCUCUUCAUCUCCUUGUAAUCUUGAUUUCCAGGUGUGUUUUUAAUAUUUUGUAUAAUUAUUUUUAUAAAUAAAAUUAGUUUUAUUUCCAAUUUUAGUUAUUUUUAUUUCUUUUAAUUAUAAGUAAUUCAAUUUUACUACUUCUUUUUAUUUUAAUUAUGCUUAACUAAAUAAUAUUAGUUAGGGGAAGGUGAAACUCUUAGGAAAUAAAUAUGAUUUAAGCAAAUUUUAUUUUUAAUUUUAUAAAUUAAAUUAUUUUCUAUUUAAUUUUAUACAUAUUUUAUAUUUUGAAAUUUUGAUUUAUUGUAGACAAACAAAUGAAUUUGGCACAAUAAAUUCUUAAUAUCUUAAUAUAAGGUAUGGUAAAAUGGUAUUUUAACUUAUUGUAGACAAAUUAAAUUUUGGCACAAUAAAUACUUAAUCCAUCAUAAAAUUAAAGGGAAAAUAAUAAUAAUUUAUAUAAUUAAUCUUUUGGGCAAUAAAUAUAAAAAAAAAGCAAAAAGAAUUUAUUAAGUUUUAUUUACUUCUAAGAGUGGAUCCAUAACCUAACUAGUUCAAUUUCAUAGUUUCAUUUAAAUUAAGUUGUUUAUAUUUAAGUUUUAAUUUCAAGUUUUAGUUAAAAUAAAGUAAACAAAUUAAAUCUUUUCUCUGUGGAUCGACCUCGGACUCACCGAAUUAUAAUACAACAAGACACUCUUAUACUUGGGAGUUAAAAAUUACUUUUAAGUUGUGUCAAGUUUUUGGCGCCGUUGCCAGGGAAAAAUUUUUUAUUUUGCUUUAUUUUUUGGUUUUUGAUUUUUCUCUUUAUGUAAAUUUUUGUUUGCCCCCUUUUCUUUUUCUUAAAUUCUGUUUUGUCCCCAUAUCUUUCAUAAUUCUCAUUUCACCCCAACAAUUCCUGUUUCUAGCCCAAUCUUUUGGUAAUUGCAUUCUGACCCCAACAUCUUUCAGUCGUUUCACUUUCAUCCCAAAUUGCUCAAUUCUAAACUUCAAAAAAUUACAGUUUGACCAUAAAAUUAAAAAUAAUUUGCAAUAAAAUCCCUUGACGAAAUUCCUCAAAAUAAUCAAGACUUGGACAUACUUUGGACAUACUUUGGACAUAUUUGGACUUAUUUUGGACUAUAUUUUGACCAAACUAACUUUAACUACUAACUCUAAUAACUAACUAUUAACUUACUAACUGCUAACUCCUAACUUUUUUUUUUAAUUUCAGUUAUUUAAUUUUCUGCAUUUAUUUUAUUUCGUAUUUAUUUAUUUAUUUUUGCUUUAUUGGUGGGUUUAACCACCAAACUAACUACUAACUCUUAAUUUUUAUUUUUAGUUAUUUAAUUUUCAGUAUUUAUUUAAUUUUGUAUUUAUUUGCUUUAUUUUUUUUAAUUGGUGGGUUCAACCACCAUUUUUUUUAUUUUGCAUUUAUUUAUUUAUUUAUUUUUACUUUAUUGGUGGGUUCAACCACCAUUUUUCUUUCUUUUUCUUUCUUUUGCAUUUAUUUUAUACUUAAUUUAUUGUUAAUUGGUGGGUUCAACCACCAAAAUUGUUAUUUAAUUUUCUUUUGUACACUUAUAUUAUUUGCAUAUUUAUUUAUUUUAUUUUAUUUUGUUAUCAAUUGUGUAAAUAUUAUCUUUAUAACAUAACCAUUGCAUGAGACGUUGGUCUCGAUCUUCAAGUGGCAGGUUAAUUCGUAGAUCUCAAUCUCCACCACCAAUCAUGGAUGAGAAUCAAGGCGAAAACAUUUUGGGCGAACUUAAUCCUCAAAUUAAUCAGGGAGAAAACCAAUCUCAACAUGGGCAUGAUCAGAAUCAACCAAGAACUCUGAGAGACUACAUGAAUCCAACCAGAACCGGAGCACCAUCGUGUAUAAUAUUUCCUCCAAAAGCAUCUCAAUUCAACUUUAAACCAGGUAUUAUCCAACUUUUACCAACAUUUCAUGGUUUAGAAUCUGAGAAUCCGUAUUUGCAUCUAAGAGAUUUUGAGGAAGUUUGUAAUACAUACACGGACCAAAAUUGUAGCAUGAACAUAAUUAGUUUAAAGCUUUUUCCUUUUUCAUGAAAAGAUAAAGCUAAAACUUGGCUACAAAACCUUAGAUCUGAAUCAGUAAGAACUUGGAAUAACAUGCAAGAACAGUUUUUGAAAAAAUUCUUUCCACCUCAUAGAACAAAUUCUUUUAAAAGGCAAAUCACUUCUUUCACUCAAAAAAAAGGAGAAACAUUAUACCCAUGUUGGGAUAGGUUUAAAGAGUUGCUUAACAUAUGCCCACAUCAUGGUUUUGAAACUUGGCGAUUGGUCACUUACUUCUACGAGGGCUUAAUACCCCAAAGUAGACAGGUUGUUGAAAUGAUGUGUAAUAGUGAAUUUAGGGAUAAAAAUCAUGAAGAUGCACUAGAUUACCUUGACCAAUUACCUGAAAAUGCACAACAUUGGGAUACUGUUGGAACUUUUGAAUUGAAAAAUAAGCAACAAUCAUCUGGAGGAAUCCAUAACCUUAGGGAAGAUCAUGAUUUACAAGCAAAAUUUGCAUCCCUAGUUAGGAAAGUUGAAGCUUUGGGGCAUAAAAAGAGUGAUCAAGUAAAAUCUGUUCAAGAAAUUGCAUGUAACAUAUGUAAUUCGAAUGAUCAUAUCACUCAAGAGUGUCCCACUUUGCUUGCACUUAAAGAAUGUCUAAAUGAUCAAUCUAAUGUCAUUAACACUUUCAAUAAACCAAACCCAUAUUCACAGACUUAUAAUCCUGGUUGGAGAAAUCAUCCGAAUUUUAGUUGGAGGAAUAAUAAUAAUGCACAAUCUUCACAAGCACCACCUCCACAAAAUUUUCAAAAUCCUCAGCCUUAUGCACCAUAUGUUCCACCACCCUGGAAAAAUCUGGAAGACACAAUGCAUUCAUUCAUCAAAAAGCAAGAUGUUAUUAACAAUCAAAAUGCACAAACUUUUUUCUGAUUUGAAAGAUACUCUUGCUAAAAUUGCUUCUGCACUCACCAUUCAAGACAAAGGAAAAUUUCCAGCCCAACCACAACCAAAUCUUAAAAUUCAACAAAUCCACCCACAGACCAAGUCAAGUCAAUUAUAACUCUUCGUAGUGGUAAGGUUGUUGAUAGACAUAUGCCUGAACCUUAUGAAAAUGAUGAAAAUUCAAAGGGUAAGGAAGGACUAAAUGAACUUACACCUAGUGAAGAAAUAACUAGUGUUCCACCUGAACCACCAUUUCUGCAUGCAUUGAAUAAACCAAGGAAAUCAAACCACUCUUCUGAAAUUUAUGAAAUCUUUAAGCAAGUGAAAGUUAACAUUCCUCUAUUAGAUGCAAUCAAGCAGGUACCUUCAUAUGCCAAAUUUUUAAAGGACUUGUGCACUGUUAAGAGGAAAUUGAAGGUAAGAAAGAGUUCUUUCAUGGCCGAACAGGUAAGUACAAUUCUGUCUACUAAUAAUAAGUUGAAAUAUAAAGAUCCUGGUUGUCCUACCAUUUCUUGUAUUAUUGGUAACCACAGAAUUGAGCAUGCUUUACUAGAUCUUGGUGCUAGUGUUAAUUUGUUUCCAUAUUCAGUUUAUCUUCAACUUAAUCUUGGUGAGUUAAAAUCAACUUCAACUACAAUUUUGCUUGCCGAUAGAUCAGUUAAAGUACCAAAAGGAAUAGUGGAAGAUGUUUUAGUACAAGUUGAUAAAUUCAUCCAUCCUGUAGAUUUUAUUAUCUUGGAAACUGAACCUGUUGUGAAUAAUUAGAAACCAAUUCCUGUAAUUUUAGGUCGACCAUUUUUAGCAACUGCUAAUGCUUUGAUUAAUUGUAGGAAUGGUUUAAUGCAUUUAUCUUUUGGGAAUAUGACUUUGGAAUUGAAUGUUUUCAACAUGUGCAGGCAACCUAAUGAAGAAAAUGAGAAUGAAGAUGAUACUAAUGAACAAAAAGAAUUGCUUGAAUCUUGUAUUGAGGAAAAUAUUCAAAAAGGGGAUUUUUCUGAACUCUCAAAUGUUUGUUUAGUUAAUUCAAUUAAGUCAAAUAAGCAACUUGAACUAAAUAUUUCUAAUAUAAAUUCGUUGCUUGAUUCUGUACAGACUUCACAAAAUUAUGAUGACGAGCCAAAAUUUGAGGAGCUUGAAAGUAUUGAAAAGACAGAACAACAAGAAGCACCUAAAAUGGAAUUAAAACCUUUGCCUGAAGGAUUGAAAUAUGCUUUUCUUGGAGAAGAACAAACUUUUCCUGUUGUGAUUUCUUCUAUUUUAACAAGCGACCAAGAAGGUAAGUUACUAACUGUUCUUAAAAAGUAUAAAAAUGCAAUUGGAUGGACUUUAAAUCAUAUUAAAGGCAUUAAUCCCUUAAUCUGCACACAUAGAAUUAAUUUGGAAGAAAAUGCUAAAACAUGUCAACAACCUCAAAGAAGAUUAAACUCACACAUGAAAGAGAUAGUCAAAACAGAAGUCCUUAAAUUGCUUGAUGUGGGAAUUAUCUACCCUAUUUCUGAUAGUAAGUGGGUAAGUCCUACACAAGUAGUGUCUAAAAAAUCUGGAAUCACUGUUGUUAAAAAUGAAAAAGGUGAAUUAAUUCCAACACGAAUUACAUCUAGUUGGCGCAUGUGCAUUGAUUAUAGAAAAUUAAAUGAAGCCACUAGAAAAGAUCAUUUUCCAUUACCAUUCCUUGACCAAAUCUUAGAAAGAGUAGCAGGACAUCCCUACUACUGUUUUUUUAGAUGGAUAUUCGGGCUAUUAUCAAAUUCCUAUAGCACUUGAGGACCAAGAAAAGACCACAUUUUCAUGUCCUUUUUGGAACAUUUGCAUUUAAAAGAAUGCCAUUCGGGCUUUACAAUGCUCCUGCAACAUUUCAAAGAUGUAUGUUAAGCAUUUUUUGUGAUAUUGUUGAACAUUGUUUAGAGGUCUUUAUGGAUGAUUUGACUGUGUUUGGGAAUUCUUUUGAUGAUUGCCUUGAUAAUUUGGAGAAAGUUUUAAAAAGAUGUGUUGAAAAAGAACUCGUGUUGAAUUGGGAAAAAUGUCACUACAUGGUUACUUCUGGAAUUGUUUUGGGUCAUGUUGUUUCUAUUAAAGGAAUUGAAGUUGACAAAGAAAAAAUCGAAGUCAUAUCUAAAUUGCCACAACCAAAAACAGUUAGAGAUGUGCGAUCCUUUUUAGGACAUGCAGGAUUUUAUAGGAGGUUUAUAAAAAACUUUAGUGCCAUAUCUAAACCACUUUGUAACCUCUUAUUAAAAGAUGCACCGUUUGAAUGGAAUGAUGAUUGCCAAAAAUCUUUUGAAAAAAUAAUUUGUCUUUUAACAUCUACACCUAUUAUGCAAUCUCCUGAUUGGUCUUUGCCAUUUGAAUUGUGUGAUGCAAGUGAUUUUGCUGUUGGUGCUGUUUUAGGACAAUGAAGGGAUGAUAAGCCUUUUGUGAUUUAUUAUGCGAGUAAGACUUUGGAUAGUGCUCAAAUGAAUUAUUCUACAACUGAAAAAGAAUUACUUGAUGUGGUAUUUGCAUUAAACAAAUUCCGUUCAUAUUUGCUUGGCUCUAAAUCUGUUGUGUUUACUGACCACGCUGCUGUGAGAUAUUUGAUGAGUAAACAGGAUGCCAAACCGAGACUAAUUCGUUGGAUUUUGUUACUACAAGAAUUUGACCUUACCAUCAAAGAUAAAAAGGGUGCUAAAAUGUUGCUGAUCAUUUAUCAAGACUCACAUCCGAAUUCUGCAAUGAUAUAACACCCAUAAACGAUUCUUUCCCUGAUGAAUUUUUAUUUUCUGUUACUUCAAUGCCAUGGUAUGCUAAUAUUGUUAAUUUUCUUGUUACAAGUAAAAUGUCUUUGCAAUGGAAUGCUCAAGAAAAGAAGAAAUUUUUUGUUGAAGUAAAGAAAUUUUAUUGGGAUGACCCUUAUUUGUUCAAAUAUUGCCCAGAUCAAAUUUUUCGGCGAUGUAUUCCUGAUAAUGAGGUAAGUAGUGUCAUUAAUUUUUGUCAUUCUGAAGCAUGUGGUCACUUUUCUUCAAGAAAAACUACUGCUAAAAUUUUGCAAUGUGGAUUUUAUUGGCCUACCAUGUUUAAAGACACAUAUGAAUUCUGCAAAAGUUGUGAAAAAUGUCAAAAAUUGGGAUCAAUUACAAAGAGAAACAUGAUGCCCUUAAAUCCCAUACUUGAAAUUGAAAUAUUUGACUGUUGGGGAAUUGAUUUCAUGGGUCCAUUUCCAUCAUCUUUUGGAUUUGUGUAUAUAUUAAUUGCAGUUGAUUAUGUCUCAAAAUGGAUUGAAGCAAUUUCUUGUCGAAAUAAUGAUAGUAAAACUGUGAUUAAAUUUUUAAGAGAAAACAUUUUAAGUCGAUUUGGAAUCCCUCGAGCCAUUAUCAGUGAUGGAGGUAAGCAUUUUUGUAAUAAGUUAUUUGAGUCUUUAAUGAAGAAAUAUGGAAUUACACAUAAAAUUGCUACCCCUUAUCAUCCUCAAACAAAUGGUCAAGUUGAAUUAGCAAAUAGGGAGAUAAAACAAAUUUUGGAAAAAACGGUUAACCCAAACCGAAAAGAUUGGUUUCUUAGACUUAAUGAUGCACUUUGGGCUUACUGUACUGCAUUUAAAACAUCAUUAGGAAUGUCACCCUAUCGGUUAGUUUAUGGUAAACCUUGUCAUUUACCUGUUGAACUUGAACAUAAAUCACUUUGGGCUAUUAAAGCUUUUAAUUUAAAUUUAGAUGAUGCUGGUAAUGUGCGAAAAUUGCAAUUGAAUGAACUUGGGGAAUUAAGGAAUGAUGCAUAUGAAAAUUCAAGAAUUAUUAAGGCAAGAACAAAAGCAUUUCAUGAUAAAAGAAUUUUUCGAAAAACAUUUGAGAUUGGUCAAAAAGCGUUGCUUUAUAAUUCUCGUCUUCAUUUAUUUCCAGGGAAGUUAAAGUCAAAAUGGAGUGGCCCAUUUGUUGUCGAAAAUGUAUAUUCAUAUGGGGUCAUAGAAAUUGAGAAUCCAAAGAACGGUGUCACAUUUAAAGUUAAUGGUCAAAGAUUAAAACCAUAUCUGGAACAUCACCCAUGUGGCGAGGACACCGAAAUUAAUUUGGGUGACCCACCAGUUCUUGAUUAAGUCUUUAAUGAUUUUUUUUGUUUUACUAUUAUUUUACCGUUUCAUUGUUUGAUUUUUUUUAGAUUGAUACACUGUACAUAUUUUUUUUAACAUUAUUUUUCUUGUGUAAGCAUGUUUGUUUGACAGUUGUACAUUCUCUCAUCAAUUUUCAUUUUACAUCAUGAGCACCUCAAUGAGAAAAUUCCUGUUUGCACAUCUUAAAAGAUUUCUGCGUGUGAAAUUUCACUUAAGAGGCCUAAUACAAAGCUGUAAAUCACAUCCACUCUGGGAUCUGCAACCACCAGAAUUCGUGUCCUGUGUUGAGGAUCUAGAGGGACAACUCAGAACAGUAGAGAGUGCCAUAUAUGAAUUUCAAUUGGAGCUUGAGGUUAACUUAAUGAGAGGACAAAUGUAAGUUCAUUUUCCUUUUAUAUUGUGUGCUUCUUUUUGCUUGCUUUCACGCUUGAUUUGAUUUUGCAGAUUUGAUUUUGGUGUGUUUUGAUUUAUUUUCCCGUAUAAAUGGGGGAUAACGGUACUCUGUGACUUCUUAAGUCAGUAUCUUCAGUUUCCCACAAUAACUGAAACCCCAAAAUCAAACAUGGAAGAAAUACAACAUAAACUCCAUAAGCAUUUUCCCUUUCUCCUUCAGAAUGCCCUCAGGAAAAUUUACAAAGCUCGUUGUGAACGACUGCGUUUGUUAAUGAUCAAUGGCAUUCCUUCUAACAUUUGUUGGUUAAUUGAAGCAAAGGUCCGAUUAGCAAGUGAGUUUUCUAAUCCAUUUGUUUCUUACAUGCCUGGUUUGGGUAAAAGUACGUUUGCUAAGAAAAAGAGAGCUAAACGACUUGGCUCAAAAUGUCAUAACUGUGUAAGACUUGGUUGCAAACGACCAGAUUGUAAAUCUUUAGGAAUGGUUUCUGAUACUCGGGAAGAGAAAAUUAAAUUCGUUAAAGAUGGCAUGAGUAAAGAAUCGUUGGAUGAUAUCUUACGAUCCAUUGAGACGCAUCGAAGCGGAUUUGUGCAACGUGAGAUUUAUAAUUUGUGGAUACUAUUCCAAAAACAAAGUGCACAGUUUAGUCUUGAGAAUCUGACUCAAAAAGACUUUGUUUGUCAGUUUAUAAGAAAAUUGGAUGGGAAGCCGAUCCUCAACCCAUAGAGGGCGUUCAAGCCGUUACUAGAAGUAAAACCAAAGGAAGAUGUGAGCCACAAUCACAACUACCAGUAAAUAUCCUUUCACUUCACUGUUAUUUUACUUUACUGUUAUUUUAUCAUUUGCAUUAUUGCAUUUAGCGAUGUGAUUUUGUAUUUAAUAAAUAUUUAUUUUCUUUUACUGUUUUCUUUUUCUAAUCAUUAUUUUCUUUUUAUUGGUUGUUUUUGAAUUAUUGAGCCACGAGCUUUACUCGUCAUUUGACAAAUAUGCCAACCCAUUUACAGCUGUUUCUCAUUAUUUAUGUCACCAAGAUCUUUAAAUAUGAGCUCGUUUUUCAAACACUCACAACUUGUUUUUGAAAAAUUAGUCCAAUGGCAGCAUCUUCGAGUAAACAAUUCAAAAACAUUUGUGUGCUUUCUGGGUUUCACUAUGGAAAGUACAAAAAGUUCGUUCAGGCAGCUGUAGAUCUUGGUCGUGUUAUAGCAGAGAGGAAACUGCAUCUUGUAUAUGGAGGAGGUGAACGAGGGUUAUCAAGACUUGUCUCAGAAGCCGUUUUUACUAGAGGAAGCCAAGUACUAGGCAUUAUUCCAAAAGCCAUGAAACCGCUAGUGUGCAUGUCUGGCCCACCAAUUGGAGAAGAAUUAGUGGUAUCAAGUAUGCAAGAGAGAAUAUAUGAAAUGAUGAAUCAUGUUGAUGCUUUUAUUUUCUUGCUAGGAGAUCUUGCAACUUUUGAGGCACUAAUUACAUUUGCAUCUUGGGCCCACUUCAACAUUCAUCAAAAACCCAUCGGUUUGUUAAAUGUUAAUAAUUUUUAUGACGGCUUGCUAACGUUUAUUAACCAUGCAAUAAAGAAUCAUUUUGUUCCAUAUUCUGUAAAAAAAAAACUCUUUAUCUUUGCUUCUACUGCUAAUAAGUUACUUGAUCUUUUACAAGCUUAUACACUAGAGCCAGAUCCAAAGACUUUUGCACUGAAUUGGUCGACUGAUGAUGGUAGCGGUAACAGUAGCAGUAAUAAGAAGUGCGAUUUAGAUUUAACUCUCCCUCUGUAAAUAUUUUCUGUUGUAGUGUUCAUGUGCUGUCUUCUAAACUCUUUCUCUUUCCUUUUAAAACAUUGAGGACAAUGUCUUUUUCAGGUUGGGGGGAGGAAUAGUUGAUAAUUGUGGAAUGUCUUAGUCCUGGUGAUGUGUUUACAAAAAAAAUAAAAAUAAAAAUAAAAAAAAAAAACAAAAAUUUUUUUUUCUGUAAAGACUAACUUAGGACAAAUUUGAGUCGAAGAUGGCAGGAUAUAGAGAAUGUAGUACCUCUAGAAAUACAUCUUCUUAAUCUUAAGGGUGUUGUUAAAAAAAAAAUUUCGACUUUUUCUUCAUCUUUGUUAUCCACUUUUAAGCUUCUGCAUCAAGUUCAGGUGAGAUCUCCUCUUCUUCUUCUUUUAUUAUUCUCUUUUAUUUUUAUUUUUUUGCAUAUUUGUAAAAUUAUAAAAUGUUAAGAUAAUGUUUAGAUUAGGUUGUGGGGUUGGGAUAAUUGACGUAUGUUUUUAAAUAGGUGUGUUGUUUUUCUCUUUUCUCUUUUCUUUUCUUUGUUAAAAAAAACAUUUUUGUUUUUGUCUAGGAUGGUCGUGUAAAGAGUCACGACUUUUGAGACGCAUCCUAAUAGUCUUGUUGUAUUAUAUUUUGAUUUUUAGAUUCAUAGUAAGUUGUUUUUGUUCCAUUUUCUUUGAAUUACUCAAAUUUGUGAACUCUCCACUUGGUUAUUAAGUUAUUUAAUUGUUUACUCAUUUAACAGAUAUUAUUGAAUCAUUCUUCACACACAUAUUAUGACACAUACUAGUGGGUUGUAAGUUAAAAUUUUACAACAUUUAGUUCUUUUGAUUUAUUAGGAAUAGUAUCUAAGGUAGUAGAAAGUGUAUAUUACAAAAAAAAAAGUAAAAAAAAAAAGAAAAAAAAUAAAAAAAGAAAAAAAAUGUUUUGAAUUUUGUUAUAUCUAGAAACCCGAGUAAUUAAGUCCGUAGGGGUGUUUCAACACUUAGUGCCCUAAGGUCAACUGGUCUGGGAGUCACUGGCCUAAAGCUCGCUACAUGGGUAAUAGAUAUAUUGUUUGUUUAUUAGAAACCCGAGUAAUUAAGUCUGUAGGGGUGCUUCAACACCUAGUGCCCUAAGGCCAACUGGUCUGGGAGUCACUGAUCUAAAGCUCGCUACACAAGUUAGAAAUGCAAUAUUUUAAAAAUAUGUGUGAAUAAUCUAUUGUCUAAAGAUAUAAUUUCUAAUGAAUUUUGGAACAAAAAUGUUGUUUUUCUUUUAAUGAAGUCCCAUAAGUAUUGUGUUAAUUACUUGAGCACAAAAGAAGGUUUAAUGAUAUUCUAGAUAAUGAGUGAACAUCAAUGUGGUAAAGGAAUUUGGGAGAGUUCAUUUAUUUGGUAAUUUAAAGGAUAGAUGAACAACUAUUAACUUGCAUGUGAAUUUUAUAAAUCUUAAUUUAAUAUAACGCUAUAAUUGCUAGAGGGCUAGCAAUAAGCUGGUUGUGGGGUGUGAUUAGUAUUAAAAAUUGUUUAAUUAUCAAGCGAUAAUAUGUUAUUUUAUGCUUAUGUUAUAAUUUAUAUUUGUGUUUAUGUAAUAUAUUAUGAAUUAUGAAUUAUGUUUUAAAUAUAUUUAAUUUUGUGUAUUUUUAUGUGUUUAUUAGGAAAAAUAUUAAUUUCACGUACUUCGAGGCUCCAAACAGAUAAAUGGAGGUCAAAUUUGGAUUCCGGAGGUCCGAAAACCUUAAGAUCAGUCAAGAUCGGCUUAAAAUUGGGUUUGCGUAAAAAAAGUUGAAUUUUCCUAUUGACCGAGCACUGAUUGGAUGAUGAAAUGAGCUUACAAUAGAUAUGAGUGCAUCGGAUAGCUGGCAAUUUUGACUAAAUCUCAACCAUUCAUGAUUCAAUGGCCAUGAUUGUGCCACGUGGCAAUGGUUGGUGAAGCAAGUUGUAGGAUCCAAAUCUUUGUAUUUGGGUCGACCCGAUCCACCCAUUAACCCGCCAACUCUCAACCGUUCUUUGGGCAAAUCGGACGAGUCAAACGAUGCCACGUGUGAUGUUGACUUUUGAAGUUUGACCAGCCAUUGGAUCUUGAUCUAAAGGUUGUGAGGAGCACAUGCAUGAAGCUUAUGAUGGACCGCAAAGCACUGGAUUAUGAAUUUAUUUUUCUAUAAAUAGAGCCUCAUUUUUAUGUUUUUAAUCAUCUCUCUACAACUCUCUUCUUCUCAAAUUCUCUCCAUCUCCUUGUAAUCUUGAUUUCCAGGUGUGUUUUUAAUAUUUUGUAAAUUAUUUUUAUAAAUAAAAUUAGUUUUAUUUCCAAUUUUAGUUGUUUUUAUUUCUUUUAAUUAUAGGUAAUUCAAUUUUACUACUUCUUUUUAUUUUAAUUAUGCUUAACUAAAUAAUAUUAGUUAGGGGAAGGUGAAACUCUUAGGAAAUAAAUAUGAUUUAAGCAAAUUCUAUUUUUAAUUUUAUAAAUUAAAUUAUUUUCUAUUUAAUUUUAUACACAUUUUAUAUUUUGAAAUUUUGAUUUAUUGUAGACAAACAAAUGAAUUUGGCACAAUAAAUUCUUAAUAUCUUAAUAUAAGGUAUGGUAAAAUGGUAUUUUGACUUAUUGUAGACAAAUUAAAUUUUGGCACAAUAAAUACUUAAUCCAUCAUAAAAUUAAAGGAAAAUAAUAAUAAUUUAUAUAAUUAAUCUUUUGGGCAGUAAAUCUAUAAAAAAAAGCAAAAAGAAUUUAUUAAGUUUUAUUUACUUCUAAGAGUGGAUCCAUAACCCUAACUAGUUCAAUUUCAUAGUUUCAUUUAAAUUAAGUUGUUUAUAUUUAAGUUUUAAUUUCAAUUUUUAGUUAAAAUAAAGUAAACAAAUUAAAUCUUUUAUCUGUGGAUCGACCUCGGACUCACCGAGUUAUAAUACAACAAGACACUCUUAUACUUGGGAGUUAAAAAUUACUUUUAAGUUGUGUCAGGAGCAAUUGGUGAGGAAAACUCAUGUGAAAUUUCAUGUAAAUUACAAUACUCUUCAAAACUGGAGUUUUCAAAUUCUCUUCCAUGAUCACUCUUAAUUCUUACAAUAUUGCAAUUUUGUUCAUUUUUAACCUUCUCACAUAGUUUUCUGAAUACAUAAUGUAUCUGAUUUUUUUUAAUAAAAUCAACCAACGUAUACCAAAGAAAUCGCGGUUACUUUUCAUGAUUACUAUUCAUCCGCAUAAAAAAUAUUAAUUUUCCAAAAACACAAUAAAAUUGCAAAAAAUAAAAGGCAUGAAUAUUUUUACGUGGUUCGGAUUAAUCAAUCUUACAUCCACGAGGCCAUGCCCAGAUGAAAAACAAUUCACUGAGUUGAGAUGUUACAACCUAUGGACUUACCAAACUUAAGAUUCUCAUUUACAGUUUAUCACCAUACAAUUUAUUCAACCUUUAAUUGAAUCUGUUUCUCUUGAAUAAUUGUUAGCCCUCUUGAUCCACGAUCCUCAAGGCACUUCACAAAGUGAUCAAUAGCAAUUCUUCAAUUCUUCAAUGUCUAAUGAUCCAAUAUCCACAGACUCUCCACAGAGAUGAAAAUAAGAUAGAUAAAUAAAUCAACACAACAUUAUGCACCAAAUCCGGAUUCUCUAGGGAGGAGGUCGAAUUUUGCUUCUCUGCUUUAUGCUCUGUGUUGUGUGUGCCUUUAAUUAUGAAAUACCUCUCUUUAUAUAGGCACUAAGGUUUCACCAAAAUAGCAAGUUUUAAAAGACUUGGAUUCUUUCAAAAUAAGAGUUUGUUUCCUCUUAUAAUUCCAAUGAAUAGGAAUAGGAAUAAACCUGAUCUUUUUGCCUUAGUUGUCUCUCUAGAAAUAUCUAGAGUAUUUAAUGAACUUCCUGUUUGAACUAACUUCUUGCUCUAAAUAGAUCUCAUGCGGCAAUUGUAGAAUCCCAUCAUUGAUUGACUUUCUAAAUUAGACAUCUAAUUAAAUUAGGAAACAAAUAUUCCUAAUAAAUUAGAAUCUCACUAAAUUAGGGAAUUAAUAAAUUAAUCCCUAUUACAAGAUAUGCAAUGAAUAAAAUUCCAAUUUAACUAGACUUGUCAUAAGAUGGCAACUCUAUAAAUAAUGGACUUAAUAAAGUGGAACCAAGAACUUCAAAAAAUGCAUCCACCAAACAAGUUUUAUGCAUUUAUGUUGUCAUAAAAUCAAAAAACCGUUUGCCAAAAAAUGGUGCCAAACAUCCCCUUAAUGUCCUACAUGAUUUCUAAUUAAGCCUAUAUUAGAUAUAUUUAUACAUUUUACUGAAUUUAGGGCAUGUUUGGUAGCCCACAUUAUAUAGGAUAAAAACACUAUUUUGUAUUAAAUUAAUGCACACUCACGUUUAGCGCUAAAAGUAACUCGAGUCGCAUUGUAUUAAUGGGCUGCACUAAUGUUGCCUCUUUUUUCUUUUUAAUUUUCUUUAUAAUAAUAAUAAUAAUAAUAAUAAUAAUAAUAAUAAUAAUAAUAAUAAUAAGAUAGUUUUUUAUUUAAUAUAAUAUUAUAUAAUAUUAAGUUUAAUUUUUUAUUUUUACAUUAUAAUCUAUUAGUAAAUUGAUAAUUUAAUACAAUUAAUAAUAAUAUAAAAUAUCAUUACAUAUACUACAGAACUUGUAUUUGGAUUAUUUAGCACAAUUCAUUUUGUUAGUGAAUAUGUUAUAACAAUUGUAUCACUUUAUUAUUUUGUUAUAAUCUUAUGGUAUGUAUAAAUUUUUAUUCUAUUAUCCUAAGAUGACUUUUGAACUAAUCUUGUAAGUUUUAAAUAUUUAUUUAUGUUGUUAUAUUAUUAGAGAUUAUUUAAUUAAAUUAUUUGCUUCAAUAUUUAUUUCACAUGUCAUAUAUUUAGAAAAUAUUGAAAAAUGAAUGUUAUACAUCUCAAAAUUUAGGACUAUAAGUUCGAUCUUUAUGAAGAAUUAUGAUAUUUUUUAAUAUUUACACUAAAAAAAUUGUUAAAUUUCUAAAAUUUAAGACUUCUAUAUUUAGUAUUUUUCUUAUUACUUAUAAGUAUUAUUUUCUAAACAUAUAAUUUUAAUUAAUCAUACAAAAUUAAUACAAUAUAGUGCAACACCAAAUAUAUUAUAAUUAAAAAUUAAUACAGUACAGUGUAGCACCAAACAUUGUACAGUAUUAUUAUAAUAUAGUAUUAAUGCAAUACAAUAUAGUGUGCCAAACGCACCCUUAGGGUGUGUUUGGAACAUGGGAUUAUAGGGUAUUAAAAUAGUAGUCACAUUAGCUUAAUACCAAUACCGUGUUUGGAAAGAAAUUUUAAGGGAUUAAAGGGGGUGAGCUAAUGCCGAAAUUGUGCAUUAGUGUCUUGUUUUUUUUUAAAUAAUAAUAAAAAAUAUAACUUUUUAAUUUUAUGUAAUAUUUUAUAAUAUUAAUUUUUAUUUUCUUUUAUGUUUACAUUAUAAUUAUUAAUAUAAGUUAAUAAAUUUAUAAUUUAUUAUUCAUAUUUUAAUUUUUAUUAUAUUAAAAAUAUAACUAAAUAAUUUAAUUUUUAAUUAUAUAAUAAUUAAUGUAUAAAAUUGAUUAAUAUUUAAUAAGUUAAUACAACUAAUAAUAAGUACUUAAAUAAUAUAUAAAAAUAAAAAUAUAACAUGAUAUUAUAUUAUUUAGUUAUAUUACAGUAACUAAUAUAUAAAAAUUGAUUAUUAUUUAACAAUUUAAUAUAACUAGUAACAAAUAUUUAUAUAUGAAUAAAUUUAAAUAAUAUUAAUUUAAAAUUAAUACCAAUAUAUAUAAUAAUAUAAAAUAUUAUUACAUGUACUAUAGUAUUCUUACUUGGAUUAUUUAGAGCAAUUUAUUUUAUUAGUGAAUAUGUUACAGCUAUUGUAUCAUUUUAUUAUUUAAAUUAAUAAAAAAUUAGUACAGGACAAUAUAGCACCAAAUUUUAUACAAUAAUAUUAGAAUACAGUGCUAAUGCAAUACAACAUAAUACAAUACAUCUACAUUAAAAUAAUACAAUACAACAUAAUUCAACCAAACGCAUCCGGUGUAUUUUAAUUACAAAAGAAGUUGGUUCUCCCUUUUCUUAUUGUUAAGAGUAGUUAGUUAUAACUGCUGAUGUGUCAUAUGAGCUGGCAAUUGUUAGUUACAUUGGUUGUAGUGUGUUUGUAAUUAGUUAGUGCAUGUUUAGCUAAGCUCAGCUCAUGCGAAUUGAUUCGAGAAUAUUCAAGAGAUGAGUAUAAAUACUCUUGUAACUAAUGCAACAAUUAAUCUUAAGCUCUUCAUUCUUCUCUCAAAAUUCUCUUUUAUUUUCUCUGCUUUUCUCAGAUGCCAAACAAUUUUCUCAUAUUUUAACUCUUAUAAAAGAUGACUUUAUUUCAAGAUUACCAUUAAACUCUUAGGUAGAAUUAGUGUAAUGUUAAGAGAGAGUAACACAGUUUUCCAUUACCAUCUUUGAAAAUAGAAUGAUAUGGAUCUUUGUAUGUAAGAGUUAUCGUGAAAAUCAUACAAUUCAAUUUCCUGACGUAUAUAUUUAUGCACAUAUGCCAAAAGAAUAAAUAGAUAGAAAGUAAAUUUACAAUCCUCACUUCCUCACAAUUGUUAAAGUGAAGAUGCUUACAACUGCGAACUGUCACUACUUUAGCCUUUUUUUUUUUUUUGAUAUAGUGUGAGGGAGACAGUGACCAUCAAGGAUGAGAAUAAAAGUUAAAGGUGACCCAUUUUCUUUUUAAAGUGCUCUGUUGAAAGCGGAACUUCCUCUGGCUAAUUAAUUUGGAAGUAAAACAGAGAAUAAAGUCCUACAUGCCUUCUGAAAUUAGAAAUACAUUUUAUAUGCUUUAAUUAUGAUUAUUUGGUAGACUAUAGACCUAAAAGACAUGUUAAAGUUUAAAACAGGCGAUUAAAGUAAAAAAAAAAACAGAGUAUUUGUGACGUCAAAUAACAAUUGGUAACUAAAAUCCUAAAUAUUUGAGUUGUUAAAAGCAAAUAUAACAAACAAGCUAAUAGUGAUGCAGAAACAGAAAACUAUUAGCUUGUUCUGAUUGUCCCGCUAUAUUCAUUUUCGAUGCUUUUCAAAUUAGAUUCUUUUAAUCCUUCUGGUGUCAGCAGCCCCUGCUCUUCUUAGUUCUAAUAAAUCUCCGUCCCACAUCUGCACUACGAACAAGUUGAUUGAAAUUAAAUAAUUUCUCUUUGAAGUGGACCCAUUGAGUUAUGUUCAUUACUGGUCAUCGUCUAUUCUUCCUAUGAACCAUUUAUUUUGAGCAUUAACGAUCUUAUCUGGACUACCCCAAUUAUCGAUGUUACUCCAAUGGUUGCAUCUAGGGAUCUUUCUUUGUUUCUCAGUUGCAAUGUGCCCGAAUAAAUUUCUUUACCUUACAGUUUAUAUGGUCUUGCUGUUAAUGAAUGCACUGAGCCAUUAUUGAUUCAAUUUCUGUGAAGCAAUGGUGGGUGAAAAAUAAAUAAAGGAUAAGUGAACAAAGUUGAAGUGCUGAAUUGGCUAUUAAAGAAAAGUGUCACUUGAUCACAAUCACAUUGAUGCACAACAUCACAAUCACAUUGAUGCACAACCCUCUCGAGGCAAAUUUUGUCUAUAUGUACUCCAAAUUCAGCCAAACCAUACAUGCAUGAACAAAAUUAAACCCUCUUUCUCAUCACAACAGUAAUUGAAGCUACAAAAGCCAGCAAAUCUGAACAAAAACUUAAAAGGAAGAUCUUAUUCAAGUUUGUCCCCAAAAAGACAGCUGAAACAAAAAAAUAUUGACUAUUGAAUGGGUCAAUGCUGAAUUACAUUUGAAAUGGAAAGCUUGGCUGCAGUUACGAUGUUUCCCCUUCCAAUAUUCCUCCAAAACAAAUUCAUUUGUAAACAAUAACGGAAGUAGCAAUAAUUUAUUCAUCAAAGAAAAUACCCAAGUUUUCAACUAACAAAUCCUCGUCUAAAUAAAAAAAAACUCAUAUCUCUAAAAUCUAUUUGCAAAAUGUUGAAAAUGAGGAGUGAUCUGCCAACUCGGUUAAUAAACUCAUGCUUAAUGUUAACAAUAAUGAUAAAUUACAUAAUAAUUAUUAUAAAGAAUCAUAAAUUGGAAACGCUAAUCAUUCUACAAUCUAUUAUAUAAGUAAGAUAUUCUCAUAAUAAGUUAAGUUAUAACGUAACAAAUAUUUUCAAUAUAUAAUUAUUUAAGAAGUCAUUUAGCAAUAAUACUUUUUUUACUCAGUUCAUCAUGUCAUAUAUCGUUAUCUAAACUCCUGACGAUAUUAUUAUUACUCACUUUUCUAUAAAAAAAAAACAUGAUUAAUGUUUAGAGAAAAGUUACGCCUUUUAGAUAGAAUAUUGUCACAAGCCGCUCAAAUUUACCACCAACAGAGGCUAAUUCUGCCUGCACGGGUAUGCUUAGCAAAAGUCCGCCUAGAGAUAGAGUGCGCUUAGCACUAAAGGUGGGGUAAGCUUAGCAAUGGGCCGCCAACACAACUAGCUAGUUGUGGUGCGCUUAGCGAUCAUCCAAGCCCAGCCCAAAUUUUAGACUUCUCUACAAUUGUAAAUAUCAUAGAACUUUCUAGGUCAAUGCAUUUAAGUCCCUAAGAUAUUUAUGCAAGUUGCAUGGAACUUUCAAGAACCUAGCACCCAAACCUAUAAAUAGGGGGAGCACCCCCAUUUGCUCACCACCACACCACACACACACAAGCUCACCAGCACAGACACAAGCUCUUUUACUCUUGUAAAAGCUCUCUUGUAAUUUAUUCUUUAGUGUGUAAUAAAAAUACAUUUGGCCAUAUUGCUCCAUUCUCUCUAGUAUUUCCGCAAAGCAUUCUUGCUUGCCUAGUUGAGAAGUUCGAAAAUGCUUACUUAGCGACCUGUGUGUUAAAGUCGACUAAGUGCCGCACGGGUUUACUAUACAAAACUCCCCCACACGAGCAAUGGCCAACCCUCCUAGCAUAACACAAGAGGGCAUAGUUGGUGUGGAGUCAUUUGAGCCAACUCGUGGCCGCGAGGAGGGACGCACAAGCUAAGUCCCGCGGCAAGUCCAAGGCCGCUUCCAUAGACGCCUUGGAGCCUCGCGUUGCCACGCUCGAAACUUCAAUGUUUGCUGUCCAGGACACCCUCGAUACUUUGGAGUUGCAGGUCGACAGUCUCGAGGGCUGCAUCCACAGUUGAAUAUAUGAUAGUAUUGGCUCUUAUUUGAGAAUAUAGAGGGAUCUUUCUUCGUUUCUCUAUUGAAAUGUGCUAGUAUAAAUUUCUUUACCUUGCGGUCUAUAUAGUCUUGGUGUUAAAGAAUUCACUGAGUCAUUAUUUGAUUCAAUUCCAGUGAAGCAAUACAAUGUGUCAUUUCCCAAUGUUGUAUAAUUCAUUAAUUAGGUGAUGAAUUUAUGAAUUAAUAAUUAGUUCAGACUUAAAUAAAAAUUUAAAUGUUGGGAUAUGUAGCAUCACUCAAUCACAAUAAACAAUAACCAAUUCAAAUUGAAACGGCAAUAUUGUAAUUUCUUUAAUUAAUUAUGAUGCAGAAGCAAGUUUUUAUGCUUGGGUUUUUUACUUCUUGAUUUUGAUUGGAAAAAUUUCUGAGACAAAGAAGUGUUUUGGAUAAGCUUUUCGGGAUUGAAACCACAAAUUGGUAGAGGAAAUUAAUUUUGGACAAAUUUUUCUUAUAUUGUAGGACCUUCUAGUUGGGGUAGUGAUGGCUUUGUCUUCAUUUUUGGUUCCUUUUGUGUCGGCAGCCCCUUACUAUUUUCUUGACCCUGAGUUUGAGAUAGCAAUUUAUCAACCUCCAACCCCACAUCCACAAACAAGUUGAUUGAAACAAUUGCUCUUUUAAUUAAGAGGACCCAAAUGAUUUAGGUUUCAGUUCUUAUCAUUUGUCUAUUAUUUCUUUGAAACAUUUAUUUUGAGCGUUACUGAUCUUAAUUAUCUGUAUUUCUCCAAUUAUUGAAGAAUUUCAAGUGGCCACUUUUUCUCCUUUUUAUAUAUGUUUAUUUUUUGGAGUGAUCAAACGGGUGCAAAAUCAAGUAUUCGCUGGUCUGUAGUGUAGCCAACGAUGGCUGAUCCACACAGUUGAUUAUAUGAUACUAUUAGCUCUCAAAAUCUUUCUUAUUUGAAAACAUAAAUUGCCCAUUAAAGUUAAACUAUGUUACCCAGCUCCAUGCACAUACAUCAAAUGUUUAGGUAGUUUUACAAAAUGACAACAGCAUGCCAAAACUUGAUGUUGUCAUAUUCGACAUUUCAAAUUGAAAAAUAUGCAAGCAAUCUUCAGUGAACAUUACGUGUUUAUUGAAUAAUUUAAAUGGCCAGUAAAUCAACAGUCCGUGAGUUUUAAAUCUAUUAUGACUUAAUGUAUCUUUCUGUAUUCGUACACAGGUUAUAUUAUCAUAGUUUAAAAUUUUAAUAUUAUUUUAAAUGUUAAAAAUACUUUAAUGCUAUUAGUCUACUACACAGGUUAUAUUAUUUAUAUUAUAUUUGUAUUAAUUAAAACUUUUAAUGUAAAUUUUCUAAUUACUAUAUUAAAAUUGUAUUAUGGUUAAGAAAAAGUUUUGGCAUUUCUUCUUGAAAAUUUGAGGGUUUUCCAAAUUCUAAGGGUAUAGGUUUGAAAAUUUAACGAUCUUUAACUUAAUGAAACAAAAGAGGGAAAUCAAGAACUAUUCAAUUUUGUAUUUUUUGUUUGUAAUUCAAAAAAUACAUCCACCAAACAAGUUUUACGCAUUAAUGCUGUCAUAAAACGAAAAACAGUUUGCCAAAAAAUGGUACCAAACAUGUCCUUAAUGUCUCACAUGAUUUCUUAGUAAGUCCAUAUUAGAUAUAUUUAUACAUUUUAGGUAUUUUAGUUAUAAAAGAAGUUGGUCCUCCCCCUGUUUAUAAAAAAUAACUUUAUUUCGAGAUUGCCCCUAAACUCUUACAUAGAAUUAGUGUAAUGUUAAGAGAGAGUAACACAGUUUUCCAUUACCAUCUUUGAAAAUCGAAAGAUAUGGAUGCGUGCAUUUAAGAGUUAUCGUGAAAAUCAUACAAUUCAAUUUCCUGACAUAUAUAUUAACCAGCAAAUCUCAUUUUAGGUAUUUUAGUUAUAAAAGAAGUUGGCCCUCCCUUGUUUAUAAAAAAUAACUUUAUUCAUGCACAUAUGCCAAAAGAAUAAAUAGACAGAAAGUAAAUUUACAGUCCUCACUUCCUCACAAUUGUUAACGCGAAGAUGCAUUACAACUGUGAACUGUCACUACUUUAGCCUUUUAAAAAAAAAAAAAAAAUUAUAGUGUGAUGGAGACAUCAAGGAUGAGCAUAAAAGUUAAAGAUGACUCAUUUUCUUUUUAAAGUGCUCUGCUGAGAGCCAAACUUCCUUUGGCUAAUUAAUUUAGAAGUAAAGCAGAGAAUGAAGUCCUAGAUGCCUUCUGAAAUUAGAAAUACAUUUUAUAUGCUUUAAUUAUGAUUAUUUGGUAGACUAAAGACCUAAAAGAUAUGUCAAAAGUACAAAACAGAGCGAUUAAAGAAAAAAAAGAAAAAAAAACAGAGUAUUUGUGACGUAGAAUAACAAUUGGUAAAUAAAUCCGAAAUAUUUGAGUUGUUAAAAGCAAAUAUAAUAGAGACGGUAAGAGAGAUGCAGAGACAGAAAAUUUAUAUUUUCAUUAUGAUUGAGCGAGCGAAAGCCAUUACUUGGCUCCAAAGAAGGACAAGAGAAGUUUAAAAAGUGAAGCCAAUUUCAACAAUGCAAAUUCUUCCUAUCCUAUAGCUAUAUAUAUAUACAUGCACGCACCCCAUUUGUCUCAGCAACACUACAAAACAACAUUCUAAGAUCACCUACCUUAUCACAACAAUGGAGCUGUCGCGGAUAAGCCGCCUGAGAAGUCAAGUAAAUGCACUAACUCAAUUAACCAAUUAUUGGCCCUCAGAGCUUCUAAUAAUAUUUUUUUUUUCCUAUUCUUGUUUAAUUUACAGGUGAAUAAGUUAGUGCCACUUCUCAUAGUGGUGGCAUUACUGAGCCAAAGAGGAGCUGAGAGCAGAAAGGCAAGAAGACUAACACUCAUUUGAGUACAAUGCUAUUCAUUUUCGAUGCUUUCAAACGAGAUUCUUUUAAUUCUUCUGGUGUCUGCAGCCCCGGCUCUUCUUAUAAACCUCCAUCCCACAUCUGCACUACGAACAAGUUGACUGAAAUUAAAUAAUGUUGGAGAUGAAGGGUGAGCCGUCAACUUGUUAAAAAAAAACUCAUGUAUAAUAUUAUCAAUAAUAUAAAAUAUAUAAUAAUUAUUACAAAGAAUUAUAAAUUAGAAAAAUUAAUUAUUUUACAAUCUAUUUCUUAAGUAAGAUAAAUCUCGUAAUAAGUUAAGUUAUAACAUAAAAAAUAGUUUCAAUUCAUAAUCAUUUAAGAAGUCAUUUAAUAAUAAAAUCUUUCUUUUGAUCAGGUGGUCAUGCCAUAGAGUAUCAUCUAUAUUCGUGGUGAUAUUAUUAUUACUCAGUAUCCUCAAAAAACACGAUUUAACAUUUAAAGAAAAUUCCUGCCUUUUAAAAAGAACAUGUAUGCAAUAGCUAGCCAUACUUUAUUUUACCACGACAAAAUUGAUGGUGAUUAAAUCAAUUUUCUCAAUUAAAGCAAAUUUUUUUAAAAUUGAUUUAAUGCACAAAUAUGAUGAGUUUUUGUAAAAAUUAGUUUUGGAAAAUAUAGUGAGAGAAAAUGGUGACGAUUAUUUUUCAGAUGUGCAAAUAGCCUAAACAUAAUCUCUAAUACCAAUAUCCAUGUGCAUCUUAACACCUUUCAUGAUAUUCUUUCAUUCAUGGCCAUUUGUUCAAGAUUUGAAUUUAAUUAUUAAAUCAUGUUCAAUAAUGUUAGAGAUCCCAACAAUUGAAUACCAACUUAAAUCCCAAUGCUAUGUGUCAUUAACAAAUGUUGUGUCAAUUAUUGCCCUCACAUUAUUGGGCUUCUUACAUCAUUGCUUACGUUUUAUUCCAUUACUCUAUGUACAGUUCCUAUUUUAUCGCUUUGUUUCCUUUAUUUGGACUUUGUCAGGCAUCUUUUUAUGCUGUCUGCUUUAUCUUGUCGGGCAUCUUGUUUAUGCUGUCUGCUUUAUCUUGUCGGGCAUCUUCUUUAUGCUGUCUGCCACUUCCAUGAGUUGGUAAGCCUGCUCUAUGGUUUUACUGCUACUGGGGAAACGCAUAGUGCUUAUUUCGUUGAUGAAGUCCAGCAACAGAUUUGAAGGUGCAUGGCCAUCCUCUGAAGUUAUAAGGAUGUAAUUCUGGAACUUGAUAAUAGUUCUGAAAUUCCUUUUAUACAAAUCUUUAGCUAUGCUCCAUAUGGCCUUUAUUCCUCUGGCUCUUCGAGUUCUGAUCCAAGAUUCGUUUAUGUGUGGAACAUUUGUAUAUUCUGUCCCAAUUUCGACUUUAAAAUUCUUUGUGAGGUGACCUACGGAAAUCAUAUAAAAGGCUUGGUAUUCUAUAUUCUAAUAGUAUUAUGGGCUUAUGGUGUAGAAUUUUAAGUAUAUCGGCCUUUUUUGGGCGAACCUUGAUACUUCUUUAACUAAUAAGUCAUCAAGGCUGGCUAUUUCUUGGAGGUUUAUAUCAGGAUAUACUAAGUCUAAAUAUCCAUAUUUUGCUAUUUUUCCAACAAGGAGUGGGUCUGCUCCCUUGGUAGCAAUCAUUCUAGGGUACACAUUUUUUCCUGGUGCUUUGAAAAUUGUAUUAUUAUGAGAACAAGUGGAAUAUACCCAUGUAAAGAAUUGUUUAUACUCUUCUUCUUUUGGAUUUAGAGGUUUUUCCUCCUCCUCUGUAUAAGGGUUGUUUAUUUGGAUAAACUUUUUUGGAGGAUCUGAUUUUGGUGACUCAAUUUCUAUAGAUAUGGUUUUACUUGGAACUGGGUCAGAGAUUGGUUUAUCUUCUCUGAAGGGUCCAUUACUGCUUCCUAUAUUUAUUGGGUUAAUGUUUAUUGGGCUUGUGUUUAUAGAGACAGCCUUUGUUAGGUCGUCUAUGUAUGACUCUAACAAAUUUAUUCCUUUCUCAUGGCUCUCAGAAGCCUCUUUUAAAUAGUUUAUUGGAUCAAUUAUGUCAGAUGCUUCAGUCUUGAGCCUUUGUAUUUCGGCUUCUAUUUUGCCGAUGAUUCUAUUUACCUCGGGAUUCAUUCUCCAAAUUCUAUGUUCCUGCUUAAAAAAUCUGCAAGGAAAUUGUUAGUUCCUUUAAUAUGUACUAUCUUAAAAUUAUAAUAAGACAGAUAAGCUUGCCAUCUAUGCAAUCUUCUGUACUGGGGUUCAUUUGGUAGUAUUCUAUUGAUAAGAGAACUUACUUGAGAAUUAUCUGUUUAUACAAUAAACUAUUUUUGAAGUAAAAAUAAUGAGAAUUUUUUAAUUCCCUUGUAUAUUGCAAGGAGUUCUUUUUCAUGAACUGGAUAAUUUGUUUGUGCUUGGCUAAAAGUUCCACUAGUAUAUUGACAAAUUUCAUUUAUAUCAGUUUUAAGGAUUGCUCCCCAAUAUAAAUCAGAUGCAUCUGUUUGCAUUACUAGUUUAUCAUUUUCUUCUGGUAAUCUUAAUGCAGGAAGAUUUUUACAUUCCUCCUUUAAACUUUUUACAGUUUCUGUAUGUUCCUCACUCCAUCCUCUAGUAUUAUUUUUUCUUAACAACUUUUGAAGUAUAUUUCUCCUUUUUGCUAAUUUUUUUAUAAAUCCUUCUGCGUAGUUUAAACAUCCUAAAAUUUUUUGUAUUUUUUGUUUAUUUUCUAAUUUAUCUGGGAACUCAGUUAUUUUUCUUCCUAUAUGACUUUGGAGUCUGAUUCCAUUUUUAUCAAGAAUCAUUCCUAGAAAUUCUAUUUGUUUAUGUUCUAUAACCGCUUUUAUUUUGGAUAACACUAUACCCUCUUUAACACAUAUAUUAACAAAUUCUUUCAAAUGGUGCCUAUGAUCUUCUAAUGUUUCUGAGGCUAUUAAUAUAUCAUCAACAUAAACUAUAAUAUAUGCGUAAUUCCUAAAUAUUUUAUCCAUUCGACUCUAAAAAAUUUGUGGGGCAUUUUUUAGUCCAAAGGGCAUACUAGCCAUUCGUAAUGACCUUGUGGUAUGCUAAAAGCUGUAUAAGGAAUACUAUUUUCUUCCAUUUUUAUUUGCCAGAAUCCUGACUUACAAUCAAAUUUUGAAUAAUAUGUUCUAUUUUUUACAAGAUUUAUUAAUACUUCUUUAUUUGGUAAAAAAUAUCCAUCAAAUUUUGUAUAUUUGUUUAACUCUUUAUAAUUUAUCACCAUUCUUGCUUUUCCUCUUACUUGUUCUGACCUUUUUCUAACCAUGAAAGCCGGACUAUUAUGUGGGCUAUUACUAUUUCUAAUAAGCUUUAAAUCUAAUAAUUCUUUUAUUUGAGUUUUUAAAUUCUGUUCUGUCUUCUUCAGUAUACAACAUGGGUUUUAAUCUUAUUAUCCUAUUUUCAGUUAAUUCUAUCUUUGCUUUAGGAUGGUCUGGUUUUCCAUAAUGCUAAUGGGUUUUCCUUAUAAACUUGUUCUAAUUGUGAUUUUAUGGUUUCUAAUUGUAUAUUAUAGCUUUGUCCUUUUUGUAUUAAAUAAUAUUUUUCAUAAAUGUUCUGACCACCAGCUGGGCUGGCUGAACUCUGUAAGGUUUAAAUUCUCGAGGAAUACGUAGAAUAUGAUUACAAGGGGUUUUUAAGGUGAUCAUAUGAGUAGUCUGUUGGUAAUAUUGAAACUGUUGUAUAAAGUCAUUACCUAAAAGGAUAUCACAAUCCAUAUUAUCAUAAUGAAAGACUUGAUUGAUACGGACAACUUUACUGCCUAACAAUAUGUCAAAGUUUAGUAAGGAUAAGUUUACUUCUUGUUUAUCACCUGUUAUUCCAAUAAUUUUCAAUUUUCCAUUUGGUUCCCAUUUUGUUGAUAAAAAGGAUUUCAUGAUAGUUAUUUCACUGCCUGUAUCAAUUAAGGCACAUGUAUCUAUGUCUUUUCUGUUAUAUUUAUUUGUAUAUAGACAGACAGAGGAUAUUUUAUAUAAGCUUGUUUUAACAUGUUUCACAUACUAUUUUUUGCCCAUGUAUAAGGAAAGUUAUUUUAGUUGGUUCAAUUUUAUAAUAUUCUAGAUCAUUUAAAAAACUAUUGCCUAGUACUAUAUGUUUUUCCGGAUCUGUUGUCAUGAAUGAGUCUAUAUAACAGGCUACUAUUAUUCUAAGACCUUCUAUUGUUAUAGGGACUUUAACUUCUUGUUUGCAUACAUGUUUAUUCCCAUUAAAAUCAGUAUAUUCAUACGGGAUCUCUUUUUCUUUUACUAAGAGUCCUUUAUUUUUAGUGUGAUUCAUAUAAUUAUGGCUCGUACCAGUAUCUAAUAGUAUAGGUAUUUUUGCAGUAUAGUCUAUUCCAUUAAAGUACUGCUCAAGUAUUUUUACUACAUUAUUUGUUGGCACGGAUUUAAUUAGUUGUCUAUCAGUGCUUAAUCUUCUAGAAGAACUUCCUCUUAUUAAGGUUCUUCCAGCAAAGCUUAUAGGGAUAAUGGAAUUUUUCAUUUAUUACUAUCUAAAAAUUGUUUCUUAUCAUCUAUAUUUAAUUCAUAGUUAAUAGGGAUUUUAUAAUCUUGGAUUACUGGUUCUAUAAAUGUUGCUAUAUCUUCACAAUCUUUAUUUAUUUCAAUAUAAGAUUUAUUACCAUAUAUUUCCCCAUAAUUUGAAUUACAAAAACUAUAUAAAAGCUGAGUAAUGUAUUUUCAUUAUUCUAUUUCCUUCUUUCAUGAGGUUCUUCUUUAAUAAUUUGAAAUGUAGACUUAAUGUCUCGUCUAUAUUCCUAUCUUUUAUAUGUACACAAUAUCUAGGAUGACAAGUAAAUAAUAAUUUAGUGUAACACAGAUUUCCUUCUAUGGUUCCUAAAUGUCCUAUGCUAGGGUCUGUAAAUCUUUGAUCGUGUAACGAUAAGACUAUGGGGCUAUCUAUUCCUUCUUUGAAAAGAGAUUUUAUUAAGAUUUGGAUUUCUGCUAGAUAUACAUAUUGAAUUUUUUCUUUAGUUGAUUCACUUCUUAUUUUUCUUAAUGCUAAAUCUAUUGAUCUUUUAUUUAUUAAGCUAAAUCUAAUAUUUCCUUCUGCUUGUGUAAUUGUCACAGCUUUUUCUUGUUCAUAAUAUUCGUGUAAUAUUAUUCUCUUUCUUUUAAACAUAUCUCUAAAUCUAUGGAUUAUUCCGUAUUCCGGUCUUUCCAUAUUUAGUUUUAAAAGUUUGUUGUAUUUUUCUUUGUUAAAUGUAGGUACAAGACUAUAUCCAUUUUUAUUUUCUUCUUUUUCUAUCUCUUCUAUUUCUUCUACUUUUUCAUUUUCUAAUAAUUCUUCUUUAUUCUGACUCAUUGUCUGAAUCUUCUACCAUAUAAACUUCCUCUCCUUCAUAAUCUGAUAAACUAUUUAUUUAUUCUAAGUCAUUUUUUAUUUUUUCAAAGUCCUCUCUAAGAAGUCUGACUUUCUUUUUUGUACAAUCUGUACUUAUAUGUCCUAUUUCUCCACAAUUCCAACAUUUACACUUGGACUUAUCUAAUAUUUUUCUUUGGUUUUUAUAUUUUCUUUUAUAAUAUUUUCUUCCUGGUUUUCUGUAUUUCUUUUAAAAUUAUUGUAUUUUUUAUAUCUUUUUUCUUUGUGGUAAGACUUUCUACGUCGUUUAUGAGGUACAUAGCAUCCCAAUUGGGUAGGCAUUUCCGUUUUUUCACACAUAUUUUUGUUAUAUUUUUUACUCUUUUUUUAUUAACUUCUUGGGAUGCAUAUUUCACUUAACCUUGUAUUUAGGAAUCUUAUUCGAGCUCCUAAUGUAUCUGGGAGCCUAUUAUUGCUAUUAUUAGUGUAUUUUUCAUAUUCAUUAAUGAAAUAUCCAUUCCAAGGGUAUGGUAAUUUAGAGUAGUAUAAAUUCUUAUAAAUGUUUUGGUCUUCAUGACUCAUUAAUUGGGUAUAAUAAUACUUACUAAAUUCACAUGUAUAUUCUUUUACAAAGCACAUAUUACAAAUUGUCAAAUUUAUUAAUUUCAUCCUAGCGUCUAAUUUAUCACUUUUUGCCUCAUUUUCUGAAUUUUGUAACCAAUCUUCUCCUAAAAAUUCAAUAGCAAUAUAUUCAAUUAUUCUUUCAAUGCCUAAUCCUUUAUCUCUUCCUAGUGCUAUUUUGGUUGAAUCUUUUAUUAAUUUUUGUGUAUCUUCACUUAAUCCUUUCCACCAAUUAAAUACAUUUCCUGUAAAACUUGCUAUUAAAAUAUCGGCAAAUAUAUUUAUUUUUUCCUCUUCUGUUUCUACAUUCCAGUCAUCUCUAGAUCCGUUAAAUAUAAAAAAUAACUUCAUUUGCAUCCCCCAUUCUACUAAUGCUUUUCGGGAAUCUAUUUUGCAAUCUAGGUCUAAAAAUGUACCUGCAUUGCUUAUUGGAGUUAAAUGGUCAUUAUUAGGUUGAUAUUCUUUCUUCCAAGGGGUAUUUUUAACGGGUGGAUAAUAUUCAAAAAAUGGUCGAUUUUUCUUUUUAUUUGUUUCAUACCUAUGGCUUGGUUCUCCUAUGUCAGGUUUUAAUUCCGGACCUCCAGCAACAUUCAUUUUUAUACAAUAUUCUUUUUCAAAUUCUUCUAAAUCACUUAGAUUAAUAUCACUAAAUUUUUCUGUUAAUUCUUCUAAUGUAUUUUCCAUUAUUCUGAAUCACUAGGUGUAACUUCUUUUAUUUCUAAUUUUUCUUUGCCUUUUUCUUUACUUUUUAAUUCUGCUUUUAGUAUUUCUGUUUCCUCUAAUAUUUUUGGGUAUUGGGUUUUUAUAAACCAGUCAUCAUAACUUCCUACUUGUGGUUUUAUUACAGGCUUUUUAAAGCUCGUUCCAAUUAUUCCUGACUUUAACAUUUCAAGUUUUUCUACUUUUUUAUUUUUCUUUUGGGUUAUUUGUAUUGUAGAUAAUUCUACUUUUAUUUUUCCUAUUUCUUGUUUAAUUUCUUUUAUUUCUUCUUUAAGAUUUAAAAGGAUCUCUUUUAACUCUAUCAAUGUAGUUUCCAUUAAGUCUAAGGAUUUCAGUUGAUAUUUUACUUUUAGGAUGUUACUUACAUCAAAUAUAAGUUAAGCGUUGCCUUUAUUUUGAGCAUUAGGGAUCUUGUCUGGACUACUCCAAUUAUUGACGUAACUCCAGUGGCUGCAUCCACUGGAAAAAGUGGAUGAGAACAUUUUUUUUCAUAAAGGUAACUGCUCCAAUUAUUGACAUAAUUGAUGGUGCUUAAAUCAAUUUUUUCUUUUUAAUUUAAAGAAUUUUGCUUUAAAAAAUAAUUAAUAUCAAAACGCCUUCAAUGUUGUUACCGCCACAAGCCCAGUUAGAGGACUCAUUAAAAAUUUUAGAAUUUUUAGGCCGGGAAAGCGUAGUAUUAAACAUCAGAAAGCAAAGGUUGUUAUGUCGAAGAAUUGAUGUCGAUAAAAUUUUAUUUUAGUUUUCGGGAAAAACAAAAAAAUUUGUUGAAUGUUGACAAGCAAGAAAAUAUUUUUUUAUACUUUACAAUCUGCUAUACAUAUUCUAUCAUAUUAAAGUAAUUUUAAUAAUAUAUGGAAACAUAAUUUUAUAAUAAAUAAAUUAAAAUUACUUUGAAUUAUUGAAUAUUACAAAAAGAUAAUUUUAAUAUUAUUAAUAGGAAAACAUAUUUUAUUUGUAAAAUCUUUUUAAUACACAAAUUCAUUUAAAAUCUUUAUAAUAAAUACAAAUAUAAAUUAAAAAAUAUCAUAAUUUAAAUUUUUUAAUAGUAUUUAAAUAUUAAAAAUACUUUAAUGUUAUUAAUCUACUACAUAAAAUAUAUUAUUUAGAUUAUAUUCGUAUUGAUUAAAACGUUUUAAAGUCAAAUUUUUAAUUAGUGCAUUCAAAGGUGUAAAAGAUUUUAGUAUUAUUUUUAAAAAAUUUCAGGAUAUGAAUGAUAAUUUUUUCAAAUUUUAAAGAUGUAAGAAUCUUUUUUUCUGAUAAUUUAUUUCACUUUUAAGAGAAUCCGAAAACGUUAAUUUAACAUUCUUUACCUUUGUGAAAAAAGUGAAAAUCAAGAACUAUUCCAUUUUGUUUUUAUUUGUAAUUCAAAAAACUUUUAUUCAUUUUCGAUGCUUUUCAAAAGAGAUUCCUUUAAAUCCUUUUGGUGUCUGUAACUCCCUGCUAUUCUCAUAAAUCUCCAUCCCAAAUCUAACCCUAUCAAACAAAGUUGAUGGAAAUUCUUAUAAAAAAAAAAACCGAAUCCAGNNNNNNNNNNNNNNNNNNNNNNNNNNNNNNNNNNNNNNNNNNNNNNNNNNNNNNNNNNNNNNNNNNNNNNNNNNNNNNNNNNNNNNNNNNNNNNNNNNNNUUUAUUUUGACCAUUUGCGAUCUUACCUGGACCUACUCCAAUUAUUGUUGUAACUCCAAAGGUUGCAUCUACAGUUGAAUGUAAGAUAGUGAAAGCUCUUCUCUCAGAAAAGAGAGGGACCUUUCUCUGUUUCUCCGUUGCAACAUGCUAGUAUAAAUUUCUCUACCUUACAGUUUAUACGGUCUUGCUGUUAAUGAAUUCGCUGAGGCAUCCAAUCUGAGUGAAGUAAUUGUGGGUGAAAAAUAAAUAAAGGAUAUGAGAACGUAGCUGAAAUGCUGAAGGGGCUAUUAAAGAAGAGUGUCACUCGAUCACAAUCACAUUGAUGCACAACUCACUCGUGGCAAAUUUCGACUAUACGUACUGCAAAUUCAGCCAAACCAUACAUGCAUGAACAAAACUAAAAUGUAGUUCUAAUCACAACUGCAGUUAUGAUGUUUACCCCUCUGAUUUUUCUCCAAAACAAAUUCAGUUCAAAACAAUAAUCAAAAUAGCCACAUUUUGUUCGUCAAAAUAAAUGCCCAAAUUUUCAAUUAACAAAUCAUCUUCUCUAAACUAAAAAGCCCACAUCUCUAAAAUCAAUGUACAUAAUGUUGGACAUGAGGGGUGAAUUGUUAACUCAGUAAAAAAAACUCAUGCAUAAUAUUACUAAUAAUAUAAAAUAUAUAUUAAUCAUUAUAAAGAAUCAUAAAUUAGAAAAAUUAAUCAUUUUAUAAUUUAUUACACAAGUAAGAUAAAUCUCAUAAUAAGUUAUAACAUAAAAAAAACAUUAUCAAUAUAUAAUCAUUUAAGAAGUCAUUUAACAAUAAAAUCGUUCUUUGAUCAGUUGGUCAUGUCACAUAGUAUCAUCUAUAUUUAUGGUGAUAAUAUUAUUACUCGGUAUUAUAAAAAAACAUGAUUUAACAUUUAGAGGAAAUUCUUGCCUUUUUAAAAAAACAUGUAUGCAACAGCUACCCAUACUUUAUCUUACCAUGACAAAUAUUUUCUCAAUGAAAGAAAAUUUUUUAAAAAUUGAUUUAAUGCACAAAUAUGAUGAUUUUUGCAAAAAUUAGUUUUGGAAAAAAUAGUGAGAGAAAAUAGUGACGAUUAUUGUUUAAAUAUAUAAAUAGCCUAAACAUAAUCCUUAAUACCAAUAUCCUAACGCAUCUUAUCAUCUUUCAUGAUAUUCUUUCAUUUAUGUCCAUUGGUUCAAGAUUUGAAUUUGAUCAUUAAAUCAUGUUCAAUAAUAUUAGAGAUUCUAAUAAAUGAGUACCAACUUAAAUCCCAAUGUUAUGUGUCAUUGACCAAUUUUGUGUCAUUUUGUUAUUAACUAGGUGAUGAAUUUCUAGUUGAUAAAAUCACUUAAAAAUAUCUUAAAAAUCAGACAAUAGUUGAAUUAAUUUUUCCAAGUUAACUGCUCAAGAUGCUCUAUUAUAAAUGAUACCCUAAUUAUAUUCAUAAAAAAUGAUAUAUUUUUGUGGUGUUGAUAAUGCGAUUAUCAUUCAACAUUUUAAAAUGUCAAAACAUAUGGAAGAUGGUUGUAAAUUGAUUGAAUGAAAAUAUUUCAGUGAAGUCUCAAAAAUUUGGUACUUGUUGUCUUAUCGAAAGUUCUCUAAAUUAUAUUCGUGGCACAGCCACUAUCCAAACCAUACAAGUCCAAAGCUAUCCAAACCAUACCUGCAAGUCCGGGGCUUAAAUGGAGUACUUCUAAGCAAAAAAACAUUGACUAAAAUAGAAUAUAUACAUACAUACAUACCAGCAUAUUCAAAAUAGCAAAGGAGUGCAAAAGUUAAAGUUUGUAGACAACAUUGCAACCAUAGCAUGUUUAUAGCAAAUCCUCAAAAUCUGCUAAAUAAAACAAUGCCCUGUCUCAUGAAUCAAUGCUGAAUUAAAAUUGAAACUGAAAGUCUGGAUGGUGUUGUUUGUUGAGAAUGUCAAAUAAAACGGCAUUGAAGGAAGUUUUCAAAGGCAGAAUCCGCACUUGUCAAAGGGAUGAUCUGCACUUGUCAAAGACACGAUCCGCGCCGAACGGAUCGACACAUUUCCUUCCGUAUUCACAUAUGUAAUCUUUGAAAAAAUAUAGCUUCUGCAUCUAUAAAUAACGCUCAGUGUAUAAUGUUUUAUUCAAGAAAUAAAAACAAGUUUCUACAUGGUAUCAGAGCCA
rnacentral:lncRNA from 1 species